AAUGCAGGAUACAAAACUACUAGUGGGUCCAAAGAAAGAGAGACUGGACGUUAAGGUGGCAUUGUCUAACUCAUUUGGGUUCGGUGGCCACAACUCAUCGAUCUUGUUUGCCCCAUACAAGUAGAAACACAGAUCUAAGUGAACUACUCCAACCUUUGCUGCAAUCAUACUGAAGGUUUGUUUGCAUACUGCCACCUUUUUAUUAGAAAUAAGAAAAAACUGCAAUUUGUUAAUGAAAGUGUCGGGAUUUCUUAUGAAAAAUAGUAGUACGAAACAUAAUUCUGCAGUAUUGCGACUCUGUCUGAGAGUUAAUAUCUUUCAACUUGAAAUCAACAUGGUAGAACAGUUACGAGCACUGUCACAUAUUUCUUCAACAAUGAAACCAAUGAUCUUUCUUUCGUUUAUUUUUCUUGCAAAGUAAGCAGAACUAGUUAUCUGCAGAUAAGACUGAAUCCACAUUGAAGUAAGCACCCAAGAAAUCUCCUUUGUAUUUGAUCUUCACUAUGGUCGGAUGGAUUGCGGCCACGAAAACUGAAUCGCUCGAGAAGACUGUUGAGGUGGCCCCUAAGUAGAAAAUAUUAAGAGUUCACCCAAUGGUUAACAAGAAAUACUUUUGCUUGUUAUUGUAAGAAAAAUUCCCUUCCAUAGCCACAGUAGCGUUUGUUCCUUUUAUGUGCCAGUCGUUGAAUCGCCGCUGAGGCAAUAGUUGCCUUGUUUGAUUUUGGUUUUCUUGUACAAUUAGUUGGCUGAUCAGAUAAUUGUAAUGAAAUUUAGUCUGCAGUUGCAUGACUUUACGUUCUUCGAAUUCCGACCUACUUGUAUCUUCUUUCCAAACUUUAAUUUUCAAAGAUGACUCAGAGUCAGGGAAACAGAAAUCCCCUUUGGUACAGAUUUGCGUUGAAACUGUAGGUCUAAAUAGUCCGUUAUUCAGUUCGGUGGAUAGUAUACUUGGGACCUGUCUUUAUUAUGUCUCUUCACUUUUUUAUUUUGGGCAAGCGAUAUUCUAUUCUAAUCUACACGUUCCUUUCCUUAUUUGCCAUCCAUUACUACUAAAAAUCAAAGGCCCCUUGUGUUAUAUAUUCCCCUUGAAUGUGUUGAUAGAAGCGGGAGGUUCUUCACCUAGCUUUCUUCUUGCUGCCCCUUUUCUUCUGGACCCGCGUUUUAGACUUCCAAGUCUUUAGCGGAGAGGAUAGCCGAGGCACUCUGCCUUUCGAGCUUCUUCGUCGUCUUCACCGCACUCGCUUUCCCUUUCUUGCGGCCACCCUGUGCUCUGGUCUACGGCUCAUCAACUUCCUAUCAAGCGGCCAAUAUGCAUAUGGUUCAAGCAUGUACUUCGUCUUCAACCAGCUUUCGUUUACUAAUCCGUAAUCAAAAUGGGUGAAAUUGAAUUGACGAGGAAUUUGAUUGAUGAGGAAUUAGAAAUAGAUUUUUAUGAAAAGUGUUUACUAAACUGUUGGAAAACGGAGUAUAAAUGAUGUCAAUUCCAUAUAAAUUGUUUAUUGAUUCAUUUUUUAAUAGAAUCGAAACCGUUUGAUUACUAAACUGCCCUUGGUCUAAAUGAGUUAUUUAUGUGAUAAUUAAUAAAAUUUAAUUUUCAUAACAUCAUUAACCCAUAAAGAAUUGAAAUUUCUGUCUCUUCAUAAACUAAACUUUUAACCCUUUUUGACCUUUUUAAACCUAAUUUUUUUUUACCACCCCCAGUAACUUCCCAAGCAGCCCAAUUUUUCGACUUUUUCAAACCUCCACGUCUUUUCCUCUUCUCCCAGUAUCCUUCGUUGGUCCUCCCCAGCAGGCACCGCCAUCACCACCACCUCUCCCUCCCUCCCUCCCCUACAUUUUAUUUUCUGCGCAUCCUUCAUUACCAUUUCCUGCGGCUCCGUCUCUCUCUCGCUCCUCCAUCCCCACACGACCACGACACCACAACCAUAGAAGAACUGGCGCUGGAGAGAUGUGGACUUGUUGAUUUAAGUGGCAGAUUGGAGUUUAUGAAUUAGGUGGGGUCAUAAUAGGUAGAAAAGUUGUAUUCCGGAUUCCACAUGUCUCCCGGAAUUCAAAUGACACCUCCUACCUCAAGAAUACAAUUCUUCCAAAAUCAGGAAUCCGAUUCUAUUUUUCGUGUACCGCCCAUUUUGAUUUAUCCACGGACACGUAAACACGCCCUUAAUUAAUUAAGUAAAAGUUUGCUAGUUUCUAGAAUAUAAAUUUUUUCUAGUCAAUCCCCAGCUCUUAAUUAAUGCUGGAUAGAAAUCCCCUUUAAAAUGAAGUUGCGACGAAACUUCCGUUCCUUCAACUUGACCACAUUCGAAGGUAGUAGGUAGGAAACUACUCUACUGGUAGGAAGAAAAGUAUGAGGACUGAUACAUAUAUCAAGAGAGAGUCCAUUGUCCAUACCGUACUGCAUAUUCCAAUUCUUGUUGAGGCUAUUUUCUUUGGUGUAUCUGGCUUUAAUUCUCCCAUGGCCAAUCAACUUGUCUCUUCUUCUUCCUUCAGCAGUACUCCUUCAUGGAUAUAUGAUGUGUUUUUGAGUUUUAGAGGUGAGGAUACACGAACCAAUUUUACAGAUCAUUUAUACCAUGCCUUGGUCCGUAAUGGAAUCAACACUUUCAUUGAUUGCCAUCUUACAAGAGGAGAAGAAAUAUCAUCGGCUCUUCUCCAAGCAAUUGAAGAGUCGAGAAUUUCGAUCAUCGUAUUGUCUGAAAAAUACUUAUCCUCAAGAUGGUGCUUGGACGAGCUCGUUCAUAUCCUCGAGUGUAGAAAGUCAAGGCAGCAAAUAGUUUGGCCAGUUUUUUACACGGUGGAUCCGUCCCAUGUACGAAAUCACACGGGUAGUUUCGGUGAAGCGUUUACAGAACUUGAGUGCAAAUUCAAGGACAACAAGAAGAAGAUCCUCGCAUGGAGGAGUGCUGUUAAAGAAGCAGCAAAUUUGUCAGGAUAUCCUCUCAAGAAAGAAGAGUAAGUUUAUUUGUGCUCCUUCUAGUAUUGUAUAUUUGUAUGGUUAAUUUUCUUGAUUCCUGUAUUUCAUGGUACAAAUGUCAAUUUAGCUGCGUAUUUCGGUUUUGCUAUUUAGAUCCAUAGCAAGCGGCACAUGCUUUUUCUUUUGAAUACAAAUAUAGGAGUUGAACGAUAACGUUAGUUAGAUUUGAUAUUAGGGCAAGAAAGAUCCACACCGAUCUCUCUUCCCAUAACCAUUAACAAUUUAACCUACUAAGAUUAUCGUUUUUCUGGAAGAAAAAAAAAAGAAUGUAAUUUUUGUUUUUUUGGAAAAUCUUGGUGGUACGAGAGACUUUUAUUUUUAUCAAAAUAAAACAGUUACUCUUAGGAACAUAAUCCUCACCCCUCAAAUGCAAGGAAAAAUAAAUACCAAAAAAAAAAAAAAAACAAGGACAAAAAUCUUACCCCCUCUUGAAACAGAAGAAUAUUACAAUAAAAAAAUAAAAUAAAAAAAGAAUAUAAACCUUAUUUGAAACAAAAAAAUAGUGGGACACAGAACCAAAGCCCUCCAAAAUGAACCUAAAAAGUAAGCCUACAAUAAUCUAUUAUAUAUAAAAUGUGAAUAGUGUUUUGGUGUCACCAAACUUCAACAAAAAUGCCCCCAAAACAAAAAACUUCAAAGGCAUCCCAAAAUAAUGCAUCAAAUAAGGUAGGGGAAUUUUUGUCAUUUUAAUAGUAUUUUUUAAUAAUUAAAUUAUUUUGUGGUUUUUUUAAUUAGUACAUCACAAUAGGCUAACAAUAAUUUGAUUCAAUUUAUCUAUUUCUAAACAUGUUCAAAACUUCUUAAGAAACGUGUAAUGCCGGUUAUAAAAAAGUUCAUUCACACACGGAUAAUAAUGUGAUUAAAUUAGUUGUCAAAUGAUUGUUUUUUUUUGUAACAAACGAUAUUAUAUAUACUAAGGGGGAGGGAUGUGGGUUUAGCCUCACAAGGGGCUAGCAACAAGUUUAUUAAAUAUUAUUUUCUCUAUUUUAAACACGUUCAAAAUAUCUUAAGAGGCGUGUAAUGCCGAUUAUAAAAAAAGUCUUUCGCACGCGGAUAAUAAUGUGAUUAAAUUAGUUGUUAAAUGAUUUUUUUUUAACAAACGAUAUUAUCUACACUAAGGGGCAGGGGGUGAGCUUAGCCUCACAAUGAGCUAGCAAUAAUGUGAUUCAAUCAAUUGUUUAUUAAAUAUUAUUUUCUCUAUUCUUAAUGUAAAUUCAGCUGCUUUAAUUGGUUUAUGAGGGGUUUUUUGUAGCAUGAUCUAAGAUUAUUCAUUUACUUCAAAUAUUUAACUUUCUUUUUGUCAAUUUACACACACACACACGCACAUAUAUAUAUACAUUUAAAACGUGUAAGUCGAACAUAGCACGUCGUAAUUCAAAAAAUGUCUUUUGCACGCACUCACGCACGUGCAUGGAGGCUAGUGUCAAUUUAUUGUGAUUCAUUUUUACUCUUUAAAUCUCUAGCGAGCGAUAAGCAGAGAAAAAUAUUCUGUACUUUUCAUUAAUAUGUUUAAUAUUCCUGUCUAUUAGUUUUUACACUCUCUUCCACAUUUCUCUGAGAUACAGCAAAAAAAAAAAAAGUACUAAUUAAUUGUGUGAUUUGUUUUUGAUUGCUAGCUCUGAAGCUACCCUUAUCAAUAAGAUUGUUAAGAAGAUCUUAGUCGAAGUACUACAACGCACAUAUUUGAAUGUGGCCAAACAUCUAGUUGGAAUACAAUUGUGCGUACAAGAGGUGAAAGAGCUUCUAGGUGUCGGAGGAAAUAGUCGUGUGGUUGGGAUAUGGGGGACAUCUGGAGUAGGCAAGACAACAAUUGCAAAAGCUGUUUAUAAUGCAAUUGCUCAUAUGUUUCAAGGUAGUUGUUUCCUGGCAGAUGUCAGAGAAAUAUCGACAUCACGUGAAGGUGUAAUCCAACUACAAAAGACUCUUCUUUCUAAAAUUUUGUGCGGUACAGAGUUGAAUGUUGUCGAUGUUCAUGAAGGAAUCAGUCUUAUAAAGAAACUGUUGAGGCGGAAGAAGGUUCUCUUAAUUCUUGAUGAUGUGGAUGAAAUGGAGCAGUUAAACAACCUGGUUGAAGUUGAUUGGUUCGGAGAGGGUAGUAGAGUGAUCAUAACCACAAAAGAUAGAGGAUUGCUGGAAUCUUAUGAAGUUCAGUUGAUAUACAAGGUCCAAAAAUUACAAGACGACAAGGCUCUCGAGCUUUUGAGUUUGAAUGCCUUCGGAAGAAAUGAGCCUCCAGACAUGUAUUUCGAACUCGCACGACGUGCAAUAGCCUAUGCUGAAGGUCUUCCAUUAGCUCUUAAUCUUAUAGGUUCUCAUCUGCGUAAUAAAAGUAUCGAUCGCUGGCAAGAUAUAUUAGAUAGUUAUGAUUCUUACGAAGGAGAACCUUAUAGAGGUAUUCAAAGAACACUUCGAAAAACUUAUGAUGCGUGGGAUAAUGUCCUGCAACAAAUUUUCCUAGACAUUGCAUGCUUCUUCAAGGGCGCAGAUAAAGACUACGUGUUACAAAUAUUAAGAAGUUCGAAGCUCAAUGUACCUCAAGAUUGUAUAGAAGUACUCGUUGAGAAUGCCAUCAUAACUAUUGAAGAUAAUCAGAUUUUGAUGCAUGGCUUGCUAGAAAAAAUGGGUAAGCAUAUAGUUUACGAAGAAUCUCCCACUCACCCAGGGAAACGUAGCAGAUUGUGGUUUCAUGAAGAUGUGUACGAUGUUCUAACUGAAAAUCGGGUAAGUAGAAUAUAUGCUCAUACAUUUGAUUUGCAUGAUCUUGAAAAGAAAAUACAGAAAUUUAAAAUAGACCUUGUGUUUUGUUUGUUAAUUAAACGACAUGGUUUGUUAAUAAUAUUUCAUUUUUUUUCCAUCUCAGGGAACAUGGAAAAUUAAAGGCAUUGUGGUGAAGUUGCCCAAAACAGAUGUGAUACCCUUGAAUGCAAAAAGUUUUUUGCAUAUGGUAAAUCUUGAAAUUUUUAUAAAUCUUAAUGCACGCUUUUCUGGACACGUUGAUUAUCUGCCCAACGAUUUGAGGUGGGUUGAAUUGGGUGGACAAUCCGAUAUUCAUCAAAAGCAUACGAUUGUGUUCAAUUUGCCGUCCAAUUAUCAUCCAAGACAUCUCGUUAGGUUUGAUGUGUCAUACAGUGGCAUAAGACAAUUGAAGGAAUUCAAGGUAUAUACUAUAAAGUAUUUUGAAUCAUUAUUUAUUUAAACAUAUAUUAUUUCCAAAAAAAAAAACCUCAAGUGUGUCAUUAUAUUAUUUUUGAACAUGUGAAUUUUGGUUUUUGUUUCACAGAAUUUGGCAAAGCUUACAUUCAUGAAUUUAAGAGGUUGCGAAUUCUUGGAAAAAAUUCCCGAUUUAUCUGGAAGCCCAAACAUAAAGUACUUGAAUCUAAGGAAUUGUAAAAAUUUGGUUGAAGUUGAUGAUUCCGUUGGAUUCCUUGAUAAACUUGUUGAAUUGAAUCUUAGUGGAUGCCCUAAACUUAAGAGGUUUGCAACAAGACUUGGAUUGGGAUCCCUUCGAUGGCUUUCUCUCAAGGGUUGCACAAGGCUCGAGAGUUUCCCAGAAAUAGAGGAGGGCAAGAUGGAAUCCCUAUUAUCUUUGCAUAUAGAAAAAAGUGGCAUAAGACAACUGCCUUCAUCAAUUGCUUAUCUUACUGGGCUCGGGAGUUUUGCAGCAAAUGGUUGUGAGUUGCAAAAUCUCUACCUCCUAACUUUUGGGAAUAAGGUCAAGUUUGAUGAAGUUUCAACCUGCAGUACCAAAUCACAGUUGUUUUCAACUUACUUAGAUACUUCAGAUAACAAUUCUAUUACAUUAACGCUUCCAGUGCUACGGAAGCUUUAUCUUAACGGAUGCAAUUUAUCAGAAAGUGAUUUCCUUGUAUCUCUUAAUUGCUGGUCCACAUUAAAAAGACUUGAUCUGUCGAGUAACAAUUUUGUUAGUCUUCCGGAUUGCAUUAGCAAAUUUGUCAACUUGGAGUCACUUAGAUUGAGUGAUUGCAAAUCAUUGGAGAAAAUUCCACAAGUCCUACCACCAAAACUACGUUUGUUAGAUCUAAGUGAUUGCAGAUCGUUGGAGAAAAUUCCAGAACUGCCCCCUAUGUUUGAGUUUCUGAUCUUGACUAAUUGCUUUAGAUUAAGUGGUGAUGAGGUGGCAAAGUUGGAAAACAAUUUGUUGAAUCAUCAGGUUCCUCUCUCUUCUCCUUAAUUUCUCUUGAAAUGAAAAAAAAAUUUGUUGAUAUAUACUUCAGAGAGAGAUCAGAUAACGAUUGUUUGUAAGUUAACUAUAUAUAUCUACUAUUGCAGGAAUCUCUCCGACGCUCUGAAUUUCAAGUUGUUCUUCCAGGCUAUGAAGUUCCAAAGUGGUUCAGCUUUACCUCUAACCAUCCAACAACACUUGAACUUCCACCAGAAUAUGAAGAGUUUGUUGGUGGCAGUGAAUUUUGUUUUGAAAUUCCUCUAAAUUUACAAGUGGGGGAGACAUUAUUAGGAUUGGCUCUAUCCUUCGUUUUUGAACCACCGACUUUUCAUUUUCUUUAUGCUUGUAUUCUCAUCAACGGAAUAGUCAAGUUUGAACCUUACGUAUGGUUUGACAAUGACAUGAAGGCAACUCAUGUGAGGAGCAAGUUAGUGGAUUUAGAGGAGCACGAGCAGCAGGGAGAUAUUUGUCAAGUUAUAUUUCUAUUCCACAAAGCCACACGCAUUAAAAGCUGCGGGGUGCAUCGCCUAUUGCGCAACCAAAACGAACUGCUUCACUUCUCUUCGGAGCCAGCAGAUUGAUCUCAAUGUUGCUAUUGAUAUUGAGGAGGAGGAGGAGCAAGAGCAACCGUCCACUUCAGAUGAUCGACAGUUUCUGAUUUAUUAAGAGUUUGGGUGAGUACAUAUUCAUUUGCACUUCCCUAAUCUUAAUCUUUAAAAUAAGGGACUGUUCGAUUACCAUUUCAGCUUUUAGUUUAUAUCUUUUUUGAAAAAUGAAAACCGAGAACUCGAUUGGUAACUUCUCCUUGUUCUAUUAUCUUGUGUUUGCCCUUCAGUUUUCUCGAUAUAGAAAUCAUUUGUUUCAACUCUUACAAUGACUUAGUAAGCAUUUAGUCACAACCACUCUUCAUGACCAAAAAAAUUAGUAACGAUUAAAACUCUUUUUAGUAACAACUAGCUUCUGUAACGAAAAUCUACUAAUUACAACUUCAAAUCAAGAUUAGUAUGUUCCAUUCUAUCACUUACACUUGCUUUUCUCAAUAUCAUGAAUAAAAACAGAAAUACCAUAAAGCUAAUCAAAUCAAUUGAAAGUCGUUUCUACAUGAUAAAGUCAUCUACAAAUCAACUGAAAGUUGAAAUCAAUUCAGUCCACUAACUUAGAUAGGACUAUAUAUUUGUAGAGAAACUUAAUUUUUUAUUUGUUUGAGAGAGAGAUAAAAAUUAUUCAUGCGACAUGCAAUGUCAUGGUUGUUUUUUAAUUGUUCUUGCAUUUAUAAUUUUAUUCAACGUCUUUAUCUUUUUAUUUGUACUGUUUUAUUGUCUGUCCUCUUUUUUUUCUUCUUGGUCCAUUUCUCUCUCUCUUGCUUCUCCUUCGAACCAGUAUCUCUCUCUCUCCACCUCUUCUUAGAAGUUUGAAAACUAAUCUUGAAAAUAUGCUAAAAAUUUAGAAAUUGAUCUUGCCGAACUACUGAAAUUGUGAAACUGAUGUUGCAUAAUCUUGACCAAGCACUCUGCUAGAUUCAUUUAUUCUUUUAUUUCCAUUGUGAUUGGUUAUAUGAUGAAACUUUUGUAAAUAUUGUUAAGAACAAGAAUGGUAAAAAUCAUCAAAAGGCAUGUAUAUAUUGGUUGUCACAAUGUCAGCUUUAUUGAAAUGAUGACUCGUAAUCCAUAGCCAUUGAGCUUGAGAUUUGAGUUUCUUAAUUUUAGAAACGUUAAACAAGUGCAAAGUUACUGCAUUACGAAAGAGAGAGUUUGAAACUGUAAUCAUUGUUUCUUACUUACAUGUAGACUUACAUAGGUGGUGUUUUUAACGAAAUCUUGUUUUUGGUUAUUGGACAGAAUCGUGAUGACUUACAUAGUUAGAACAUGCUAAGGUUUUUUUAUAAAUCUAUGACCUUGGCGAUGGCAUUUGGGUGUCUGUCUGGAUAUCCUUUUUUUCUUUCUGUGUAGGAUCACAUCAUCUGUAAGGUUGUAGGUACGAAGUCUGUAGGGACAUUCUGUAUCCUGUGGUUCACUCAAGUUAAUCCGUAUCAGGCUUUCUGUUACGUUUCUUGAACUUGCUGCUACCCCAAUAAUCUCACAAACACAUUUUCUAAUCAUUCAUUUCUAUCUUACUAUGAAAUAUGGUGUUUUUGUAUAAAUGCUAAUAGAGCAUUUAAUUCAUCGAUUAUUUUUUAAUACAGAAAAGAGGUGCAACUAUUUAUGAAGAAUUCCUUGGUGGAAGCUUCACAUGUGAUGCUUCCCACAUGACUGAGUCACACCCUGAUGGUAAUAUGCUUUAUCUUUGGAAAUCUCACUCCUGCGUUUCUCUCGCAUUCUUUAUGUUGAGCUAUGGAAGCAAGAAAGUCAACUUGUUUCUGUUGGAAACAGGGGCCGGGGUUAUUCUGUGCAUUGAAAAGGCUUUAGAACAGUCUGGGGUGUCUAGGGAAGAUGUUAAUUACAUUAAUGCACAUGCUACAUCCACACCGGCGGGAGAUCUCAAGCAGUAUAAUGCUCUCAUUCAUUGUUUUGGCAAGAAUCCUGAUGUAACAACAAUACAUAACAUGCAUUAUCUAUUUUCUUAAUUCCUGUAUUUCCAUGUUCGAUGAGAUCUUUACGUUUUACAGUUGAGAGUGAACUCUACAAAAUCCAUGAUUGGUCACCUACUGGGAGCAUCUGGUGCUGUAGAAGCUGUUGCAGCAGUACAGGUAACUUACGUGAUGUUUUUGAACUGGAAAAACUGUACUAUUUUUAGACCUUAUGUGUAAGACCAAAUACAAUUCUUCUUUGUUUGUCUUGAAGUGUAGUUCUUGACAUGUUAUCUCUUUUUGGGUAGGCGAUAAGAACUCGGUCGAAACAUCCAAUUAUCAAUCUGGAAAAUCCAGAUGAGGGUGUGGUAUGUUGUCAUGUGUUCCCUUGGCACCCAUUUCUGGUGUAUAAUGUCCAAUGAAAGUGUAUUUGGAAUCCUCUAAUUCUGUCAGCACAUGAAUGCAGGAUACAAAACUACUAGUAGUGGGUCCAAAGAAAGAGAGACUGGACGUUAAAGUGACAUUGUCUAACUCAUUUGGGUUCGGUGGCCACAACUCAUCGGUCUUGUUUGCCCCAUACAAGUAGAAACACAGAUCUACCGUGCUACUCCAACAUUUGCUGCAAUCGUAUUGAAGGUAUGUUUGCGUACAACCACCUUUUUAUUAGAACUUGGAAGGAAUUGUGAUAUGUAAACAAAUCAGGGAAAAAUAGUAGUCCGAAACAUAAUUCUACUGUAUUGCGACUCUGUCUGAGAGUUAAAUCUCACCUUUCAACAAUGAAAUGAAUGAUAUUUCUUUCAUUUAUUUUGCUUGCAAAUUAAGCAGAACUAGUUAUCUGCAGAUGAGACUGAAUCCACAUUGAAGUAAGCGCCCAAGAAGUCUCCUUUGUAUUUGAUCUUCUCUAUGGUCAGAUGGAUUGCGGCUAUGAAAACUGAAUCGCUCGAGAAGACUAUCGAGGUGGCCCCUAAGUAGAAAAUAUUAAGAGCUCACCCAAUGGUUAACAAGAAAUACUUUUGCUUGUUAUUGUUAGAAAAAUUCCCUUCCAUAGCCACGGUAGCGUUUGUCCCUUUUAUGUGCCAGUCAUUGAACCGCCGCUAAGGCAAUAGUUGCCUUGUUUGAUUUUGGUUUUCUUGUACAAUUAGUUGGCUGGUGAGAUAAUUGUAGUGAAAUUGAGUUUGCAGUUGCAUGACUGUAUGUUUUCCGAAUCCCUACCAAUACAGAGUGAUGAAAACAUGUAUAUUCCAGAAGAUUAUAUGAGUGAUGCCUGUGACCAUCUCUUGUUUGACUACGCGAUUAGCCGUAAAACAAACAAUUUAUAACCAAUAACUAAGGCAGCUGUAAACUUUUGCAUGCCCUGAGAGUGAUUGAAAGAACAUUGUAUGCCUUCUUCUGGAUCAAACCUUCAUCAUCCUCAAAUAGUUGUGCCCUGCUGUUAAGGAACGGAGACCCAAAAACACGGACCAAGAGCUCCAACAGGAAUUUGCUCUUCUUCACGAGAGUUGAGAGCGGGACUCUGUGAAAGACGCAGCGUUGAUCACGUGACAGGGAGGGUCGGGCUGGGUGGUGGGGAAGAAGAAAGUGAAUGUCAAGUUCCGGAUCAACAUAUGGGUCAUGUCGUGAUUUUGGUUCUGUUUUGUGAAGCCCUUGUUCCUCCAGCGACUCGGGAAAAUUAGGAUACCUUCUUCGGUAAUUCUCCUCACUCAGAGACUUGGGGGACUCCAACUACAUGUUACUAUACUUCAGUACUUGAAAGUUUCGUGAUUAUUCAAUGACUUGGUUAUUGCGAGUAUCAAACUAAGAAGCUUUCCUCACUUGGAAACUUGGAGAAGCACUGUUGUUCCAUACUUCACCAACCCCCAAAUUACCAGGCACCGUCAACUUUAUACAUUCAAAGACUUUGUUCUGUACUUGGAAGUUUCGUGAUUAUUCAAUGACUUGGGUAUUGCAAGUCCCUAACUAAGAAGCUUUCCUCACUCGAAAACUUGGAGAAACACUGUUUGUACCAUACUUCACAAACCCCCAAACUACCAGGCACUGCCAACUUUAUACAUUCAGAGACCUUGGUCAUGCUGAGGCGUGAGCAAAUGAGUUGAUUUUGCACAUCAACAUUGAAGUUCAUAAUUAGUCCUCGCACCUCUUACAUAAUGCAAGAGCAAAUGAGCCGAUUUUGUAUGUUUGAAUAGUAUUAUUGUUUAGUUAAACACAAAUUAUUGUUAAAUAAUGCAAACAAAAAAAAAAUUAUUUGGAACUCGAAAAGAAAUUGCACGUUUAAGCCUUCCUUUCAACCAACUUUAAAUUGGUCAAUGUGAUCCAUGUAGAGUCCCAUUAGGAUUUCUCCUACAAAAUAUAUAUAUAUAUAUAUAGUUACCAGAAUCAAGAUAUAAGCAUAUACAAAAAUAUAUAUGAAAUCAUAUCAAGUCAAUUCAUACUUCACAUAAUCAUAUUCAUAUGUAUGCCAUGCCAAAAUAUUACAAAGUAAACAGUUCAGGUAAGAAUGAUUUCAUGGAAAUACGAUAUGUUGGCCGGAACUCCUGUGGUAGUCUGUACGGCUGAAUUCAUAGCCUAAACUCAAUCUAGCCGGAGUCACUACUAUGACGCAUUAUUCUGCACAUAAGUCGGAACCACUAAAAAGGGGUCUGUACGACAAGAUUGAGUGUAAUAUAAUUAUGCUCAAUUUUACUCUCUCAAUGCUAGCUGUGCGAUAAUACGUUAAUCACCUACGAGUCGGAACCACCUAUAGUGGUCUGUACGACAAGACUGUGCACCUAAUUGAAUCCAAUGUGAGCACAUGGUGCAGGAGGUGACAUAAUAUACAGGCCUGUGGCAACUCUCUCUCUGGCUAAAUCGCAAUCACUCUGGUGCAUGUUAUGAGCACAAUGUUCAUCAAUGCAUUUAUAAUCAUUCUAUUCACAACUAAGGCAUUUGCCUUAACUAUUGUAUAAUUGCAUCUAACGUAUCGUUAGAAUGCCUACAUACCCUGAAUAGGGAUCAAGUCAUUCGUAGUUCGUAUAAUCAAACAUAACUUACCUGAACUUACCUGUGCCUCCACAGCACCACACACACACACACACACACACACACACACACACACACACACACACACACACACAUAUAUGCAACUAUGAAAUGCAUAACCAAAAUAUAAAGGCAUUUGGCAUGAAAAUUCAAGACAUACAUUCAUUUAAAUGCAUUUCAGGGAAAUAUAUCAAAUAUAUAAAUAUAUACUGAAAACCAAAAGCCCACUCACUGAUAUGUCAAAGGGUCGUAGCCCCCGAGUCGCCCGUGGAUAUACUCGUCCUCGGGAUAAGUCUCACCUAUAUGCGAAUUAACUAUAAAAACGUUAUUUUAAAACACAUAGACAAAACUAGCUAAUAACUUCUCAUACAUUGCUCAAAAUAGGUAUAUGAAUAUAUCAUCGUGAUCUACACAACCUCAGGAUCAUCCCCAUAUUUUUAGAAAUAUUUUUGGACCUUCCACGCGCUGCCACGCGUUGGUAAGGGCACGGCAAAACACACCCCCACGCGCGGCCCAAACCUGACGAAUUCCCUAACCACCGUUAGGGAAUAUUCUGUUAAACCUAACAGAUUCCGUUACAUUUGACUGACGGCGUGAGAAUAUUCCGUCAUACUUGACGGAAUAUUCCUUCACCUUCUACCUCCAGCUCCGGCGACCGUCACCGGCGCCGGAAACUGGGCAAAACUUCAAACUCACUAUUCUCCUUCGUUUCUUCACCAUUUUUCAUGCAGUUGGUACCAAAAUGAAGCUAAUAACAUGUAGAAUCACGUUAUACUACUUUUAAGCCUUGAAUUCCACUAGAAUCUACCUGAGGAAGCUCGAUAAUCCGGUCGACUUGAAAAGCUUCGAUCUCGGCCCUCCGACGUCCAAACUCUUCCAACGAACUACCCCAAGGCUCGUGAGGACCUCCUUAAGCCUUUUAUGUGCUUAGAAUUCCCUGAAAAUCGAAGAAUAAAAGUUGCAUGAACAGUGCAUGGAAUCGGACUUUGUGGUUCUACGUGAAGUCGAAAGUAACCUUACCUAUAAUUGGUACAUUUGAACUCGCGAGGACCUUAGGAACACAAUGGUACCAUUUUCAACCUCGAUCUACAAGGUUUGGGGUGUUCUUGCCCUUGUCCAUAUGUAAGAGGGAAGAGAGAGAGUGAGAGUCAGAGAGGGGUGAGAGGACACGGGGGAGAGAAGAGAGAGUGUCUGUGUGUGGCCUAGGAUUGGUCAACCACCAAAAAGAACAUAACUUAAUCCUAAUUGGUUUCAAACAAUUAGGAUUUUAAGAAUAUUAACCCAAAGCUACCCUUAAACCACAUUACACAACUAACGUUCAAGGGUAUUUUCGUCAAUUCACGCCGUCGAUAAAUAUAUAUAUAUGGGACGGGUUGUGACAAUAUUAUCACAUUCAAAACAUAAAAACGCAUUUGUCUUUCAAGUAUAAAAUAUUUACAUGCCCAAAAUAAGAGCAUAAUAAAAAAUAAAAUAAAAAACAUUACAACAUUACAACAUAUCAAAUUUUCAAAAGAUUUGCAAAAUUAAGGGAGUUAUAUUUCAAGGUUUGGAACCUUGCACAUUUUCUUACAAUCAAACUCUUUAAUUUUCAUCAAUCACCAUGGGAAACGGUAUUGGAACUUUGACUUAAUAUAUUAUCUUCAAGAGUUAUAUUGAUGAUAUUUUCAGUAAGGCUUUCUGCAUUAGCACUCUCCUCUCACUUAUCCUAUGGCUAUUGUUUAAGUAAAGUCUCCAAUAGUUUUUUAAUUAAUGUAGAAGUGUGAAAAAUAUAGAAAAAAUAUAUAAACGUUCGUAAUGACAAGCUUUUCAAUUUUCGUGAAGGGCUUAACUUUGAAAUGUGCCACUAUAAUCAUAUAAAUCACAUAUCAAAAUUUAACUGUUGAUUGUUGUUUACAUUUAUACUUCAUUUUUCUCACCAAAUUUUGUUUUUUUUUAGAUUUUCUUUUCUUUUAAACAUGAUCUAUUAGAGGAUACAUGAAGAUGAAUGGUUUGGAUCGUUGAUAUUAUGUUCAGAGUUUUACCGUUAGUGAAAAUAUUGCUUGGUGUUUAUAAAGUCUCUACAAACUAUAUAACAUCGACUUAUAUUUCAGUUAACUGUAAAUAUCGAGACGUGAUAUCAAAGAUCCGAACCGUUCAUCUUCCUACGUCCCCAGAAGAUCAUGUUUUCAAAAGAGAAAUUUUAAAAACGAAAUUCAAUAUAAAGAAUAAAGCCUAAACGACAAUCGACGGUUAAAUACAAAUUUAAGGUUCAUGGAUUAUAGUGUCGGAUUUCGAAGUUGACCCCUUCACGAAAGUUGUAAAUUUUGUCACUAUGAGUGAUUGUAUAUAUAUAAUUUUUAUAUUUCUUACACUUCUACAAUAAUUAUUAUUAAUUUUAUUACUUUUACACUCAAAUAAAAAACACUAUUCAUGACGGUUUGGAGGGUUUAAAAAAUCUAAACGAUAAUGUAAGUAUAACCAUUGUCUACUCGUGGAGGAAUGAUGAAUCACGAGUGUUUAUAUAUUCUUUCACAUUUUUCAUACUUGUAGGGAUGUCUUAUUGCCUAUACUAAUACUAUACUAGUUGAUUUUAAUUUUGGACAACAACAUGUUAAAUAAAAUUUAUCCUAUUAAUGAUAAUAAGAAACUCUCGUAAUAAAAAUAAAUAAAUGAAUAAAACUUUUUUUUAAAAACUUAUAUAGAAUAAUAAUACAGAAAUAUAUAUUUAAUAUAGAAUAUACCAAUAUAUACAAUAUGGCUAUUGUAUUUUAUAAUAAAUUUUUUAGUAAUUAAACUUUAAAGUUAUAAUUUAUUUUUCUUAACGGAUCGAAACGGGUUACCCGCGUGUAUACUUGUUAAUAACCUGUUAUUAACGGAUUCUUUAUGGGUCAUCCGAUAAUGACCUGAUUAGUUAUCGUGUUGACCCGAAAUCCGUUAUUUUAAUGUCGUGUCACCGUGUCGUAUAAGAAACUGACGGGUCUAAUAAAAACCUUCCAAAGCUUCCCAACCUCGUAUCAAGAAACACGUUAUCCUCCCAUAAAUAGAAACCUCUCAGAGCUUGUUGGCACAAAGCACUUCAAUCAUCACAUUAUCUUCUUCUUAUCUUCCCACCAAUCCUCGAUGGAAUCCUACAAAAACAGCAGGAAACCAGCCAUAAAUUUGGAAUUGAAUCCAACUGACAAGGGAAUCAAAAUCCACGGGACCUCGGAUUUGGGAUCCCCCUUUCCUUGCCUAUUUGCCUAACCUCGCCAACCAAAUUGACCCAAAAACCUUGCCAACCACGAAGGAGCAGUAGAGUUUUUAGUGCCGAGUUAGCGUCCAGGUUCAUUGAACCGAAAUCAGUUGAUUUCCUUGUUGAUGACUUAUAUGACACGAUUUUGCGGUAGUUGCAGGCAUCGGGAGUUAAGGCACUGAGGGUGCGUUUGUUGCACAUGACUAUCUCGGAUUGGACUAGUUUCAGGGACUAAGUUGGACUGGUUUGGACUGGUUUGGACUAGACUAAGCAGAACUAAGUUAGUGAAGCGUUUGAUGCAGUAUCGGAUUAGAAGUAGGAUAAUAAAAAUAAUAAAAAUAAUUCUUUUUUUUUUCUUUUUCUAUUUCUUUUUCUUGCCUGAAACCUCUUCUCUCUCAUUUUUUCCGUCCAAACUCCAUAGAUUCCAAUCAAAGCUUCUACUUCAUUUCAAUUGAUAAAGCUCUCCAUCCAAAUUCCACUACUUGCAACCACAUCUUUCUCCUCCAUUUGAAUCGAUAAAGCUCCCAAAACACAAACAAUAAAAAAUUCAAUUUCAAUUGACAUCGAAAUCGAAAUCGCAGCUGUGUUCCUUGUAUACCCAACAACGACACUCUGAUUCGAGCAGGACGUGGAAAGAGAGGGAGAUGACGUGAUCUGGGUUGGGUCGUGCAGAUCGGCUCGACAUCGAGGUUGGGUCGUGCAGAUCGGCUCGGUAUCUAGCAGGAUGAGGAGAGAGAGGGAGAGGACGUGAUCUGGGUUCGGGGCGAGGAGAGAGGGAAAGGACGCAAUCAUUAGUGAGAGAACGAGAGCGAAGACAAGACGCGAGAGUAGAGAGAGGGAGAGACAGAGAGAUGAGGAACGGCGAAGGAGACAACGUUGUGAGGAAGACGUUCUUAGCAAUCCCAUGGUUCAACGCUAGACUAAUUUGGACGACCUAACGAGGCCCGGAGUCCACAUGAGUCCGGGCUAGUCUCAUUUAAGUUAGUCCCCAAGUAUACCAAACAUGGGACAAUAAUCCUAGCUAGUCCAGUCCCACUUAAGAAGGUGAAACAAACACACCCUAAUUUGACAACGCGGAAAACGAUAACAGCUGUGAAAACUUGUCCAGGUUCAAUGAACCUGGAUAAUUUACCUGGAUAAUUUCCUUUUUGGUAUGACGUUACACCAAAGACAGUCCAAGUUUUAGACCAAAAUACAAUCCCCGUUUUGGACCAAAAUACAAUCUAUGGUUAUGUAUGUGCAUCAUGAUAUAUGUAUGUGGGACAUAUAUCAUGGCUAUGUAUGUAGACAUACAUCUUGGCCAUGGAUGUGGACAUACAUCAUGGUUAGAUGGGAUGGACAUGUAUGGUAUGGAAUAUGGAUGCAAAUUUGGAACAAUUACACAAUUUUGGCAAUAAAUAGUGAAGUCUAGGUUUAUUUAUUUAAAGAUUUCAAAUAGAAAAAUAAAUUGUGUUUUAACUCUAACAAUUGAACAAGUAUUUGAAAAAAAAUAUUUAUUUGUUAAUCUUUUGUUUUUCUUCCAAAAAAAUGUGAAUGUGCUAUAACCACACAAGUUAUAACAUAUUAUCAUAUGAGGAUAAGAUAAGAUCGUGAAUAGACUACAAAGAUUCUUAUCAUUUUGAUAUGAUUUUGUGGUAGCAACAUUUACACGUAUAAUUUUUCAUUUAUAACACCGAGUUUAAUGUAUUUAUUCCAGAAAAUUGAAGGCUUGCUAUUUUUAUUUUUAAUAAUAUCAAGUAACUAGGUAUACAAUUAACUUUGAACUUCGUUUUGAGAGGUUAAUUUUGAACUUCGUUUACUUAAACAUAAGUUGUGACAAGAAUAUAAACUUAUUAAACGAGGUUACAAGUUAAAAUCAAUUACGAAAGACAAGAAACGCAUAUAAAAAAUGAAUCACAUUUGCAUACUAAUUAGACACCACCGUCCUCUUUUAAUUUUUGAUCAGUCAACAAAUUAAUUUGAUUCCAACCUUGAAUUAAAAUAUUAACAUUUAUAAACUUGGAAUUUGUCCUAACCCUUUUAGUUUGUCUCCCAUGUUAAAUAUUUUAAUUCAAGGUUGGAAUUAAAAUAUUUAGAAACUUGGAAUUAAAAAACAAGUGGUAACAUGAUGUGAAUGUGCUAUUCCCACUUGUUUUUUACCUUAUCCCAUCAUGUUACAUUAUUAUUCUAAUUAGUCCCAAACAAAAGGUUCAUACAACAUUAUUAUUUUUACCUUAUCCAAUCAGAUUACCUUCUUAUAAAAAAACUAAAGUAUUAUUUAAGGAAAUAAAAUCACUCGCUGUUUUUUUGUCUUUCACCUUUUUAUUUUUAUAUUAUCAAAUUAAAUAAAUCAAACGACAAUAAAAAGCAUAUCAAAUAAAAGUGUAUAUGGAAAUUGAGCGAUUUUCAGAUUACUUAGGAAAAUAAUCAACACAAAUCCCUUUUUGCUUUCUAUACAUAUAUUUAAUUUUGUACGUCGAUUUUGUUAAAUUUAUUUAUUUAAAUGAUAAAAAAAUAAAGAGAAAUGGAUGAGAAAUUAUGAAGGAUGUGAUGGAUGCACAUGAUACAAAAGUCCAUACCACAUACAUCACUGACAAAUCUAGAGCACGUGGCAAAUCAUGCACUACACACCCACGCGGGUUUUCGCUUCCCCUCGAUAUAUAAAUACGGAGAGCUGGCGGUUCUCUCCUUCCCCACCCAGCGAAACCCAGAAGAGAGAGAGAAAGAGAAGGCGAAGAGAGAGAUAGAGACAAACGAACCAGAAGAGAGAAACGCGGCGCUUAGCUUCAUUCUCUUUUCGUUUCUCUCUUUUUCCUUGCCACUGACCACCACCGUCGAUUGCUUCUCGCUUUCUCGAUCUAUCGAAUCAGAUCGGCCCAGGGGUUUCUCCAAAAGCUUCAUCUCCUUUUCUUUGUUCUCGGAAAGAUUUCUGCUAUCUUCAUUGUAAGCUCCCGAUUCCUCUGUAAAUGUUGAACUUUUUGUUGCUUGGAUGACAAUGCCGCUGAUUUUUCUCAUAUUUUUAAUUGUUCUUUGGUGCCAUGAUCUGCAAUUUCUGUUUGGAUGCUCGGAAAAUAGGAAAAGGGGAAAAUUGGAAAAGUUCGAACUUGAUGUUUCUCUAUUUGGAAAAUUCCCAAAUAUGGAAAAAUCAAUUCAUUUAGCUCCUAAAUUGUCGAGUGCAUUAAUAAUCAUUUGGGUUUUGUGAGAUUUUAUUUAUUUUUUAAAUCUCAGAACUUUGCGCAUUUCCAACGAUUUAUACAAUUAUCAAAUCUAUUACUUUUGGAUGAUUUAUGAAAUUAAGUAACUCUUUUCCUGAAAAGGAAAAUAAAGUUUGAAGUUUUUGAAUUUUAGUAAUAUUAAUUUAUAUAAAGUAAGGUUUCAAUUUCAUUGAGCUUUGCAAUAUAAAGUCUGUUUUAUAUUAUGAAAUGUUAUUAUUUUGGACUGGUUUAUUAGAGCUUGGGAUUUUUACAUCAAUGUACUUUUUGCAGUAGUCAAACGCAGCGGCGGAGCCAGGAAUCUUACCACAAGGGGUCGUAGUGUAAAAGUUCAAAAAAAAAUUUAGGAUGGAAAAACAUGUUGAAAAUGAAAUCAUACUGCUUUCAUUUAUAAUUCAUAACGGAAACAAUAUUACAAGCUAUAAUUGUCCACGACGAGGUUUCAUAUUUUGAAAACGAAGCAUUAUAGCUUCAUUUUCAAUACAAGCAAAAAUAUCUCUCUCAAUAUAAACAAGCAAGCUAUCACUCAACCAUUGAUCUCUCAUUUUGUUCCUAAGUGGACCCUUAACAAUAUUCAUGAUAGAAAAUGCUCUCUCCACUGAAGCAGUUGCAACUGGUAAAACUAAAGACAAUGUAAUGAGCAAAUAUACAUAAUUGAAUACUUGAUGCAUCCUUGUCUCCACCAUUUUUUUUGCAAGAUCACCAAUCCCUUCCAAUUGAGAGAAAUCACUACUGGAACGCACAUAAUGAAUAUAAAUCUCAAGUUGAUCUUCAAGUGCCAAACGAUCCUCAUCCGAAAAGUCUUGAGGAUAAAAUUGAUUAAGACGAAGUAACUUUGGUUUAUUAAAAGCUACAAAUGAAUCUUUCGGACUCAAACAUGCCAAACAAAUAAGAAACUCGGUAUUUACCUCAUUAAAGCGAUCAUCUAACUCCGUAAUUUGCUCAUCAAUGACAUAAAUAAAGAGCUCUACACGAUAAUGAUGACGAUUUGUCUUUAUUGGAACAUUACGCCUUGACCUCCCUGGAAGUAUAAAUGUCUCUUCUAUGUUAGGAACAUCAAUAUAAUGUUUUUUCACAAAAAGAAGAUACUUCAUCAACCAAUGCAUCGAACCCAUUAUUCCUCAUCCAAUGUAGCUUUUCCUUGCAUGAUUUCACUAAAACCAUUGCAUUCACAAUUUCUUGAUCUUUCAUUUGCAAUGCUUGUGACAAAUAAUUUGUGAGUCCCAAUAUGACUUUCAUCAAGAAAAGGUGAAACACAAACUCAAAAGUACGUAUAUCUCUCAUUAACUUAUUUGCGUCACCCGCACUUUCAUUAGGAUUAUCAUCAAUAACCAUUUGAAGCACAUGAACCACGGAUGAAAACAUGGAAAUGAUGCUAAUCAAGAUACCAUAGUGUGAGUUCCAUCGUGUGUCACCGGCACGUUUGAGACUUGUUUCUUGAUUUAAGCCUCGCUUCGUUAUAAGACAAUCAUUUUCAAAAGCUAUCACAAACUCUUCUUGAAGUUGCCCUCUAAGUAAAUCACGCCGCUUACAAGAUGCUCCAACAUGAUUAACCACACUAUUAGCCAUUGCAAAAAAAGAGGCAAUGUCUAUAUUCUUCUUUGCUACGACAACAAGAGCUAGUUGAAGUUGAUGAGCAAGGCAAUGAACAUAAUAUGCACAAGGUUGUUCUCUCAAUAUCUUUGUUUUAAGGCUAUUCAACUCACCUCUCAUAUUGUUAGCACCAUCAUAACCUUGUCCUCGUAGCUUGGAAAUGCUCAAACCGUUGCGAGAAAAUAAUGUGUCAAUAGCAUCCUUUAGUGAACUUGAAGUAGUGUUGGUAACAUGUUGGAUACCCACAAAUCUUUCAAUUACAUGCCCGUUGUCAUCCACAUAACGCAACACCAUAGCCAUUUGCUCUUUCACCGACACAUCACGUGCUUCAUCCACCAAUAUUGAAAAGAAUCUAUCUUUUAGAUCAUCCAUGAUAGCAUCAAGUGUUUCAAAGGCACAUGAAUUCACAAUUUCUUUUUGAAUGCUAGGAGCUACUAAUCUGAGAUUCCCCGGAGCAUUUUCCAUCACAACUUCUCUAACUUUAUCAUUAUUAUCUACAAGGAAUUGCAAUAGCUCCAAGUAAUUUCCCCUAUUGCUUGAAGUGGCACUUUCAUCAUGGCCAUGAAAAGGAAGACCUUGCGCAAUAAAAACUUAGUGCACUUGAUUGAUGCAUUCAAGCAUGUGCGAUAAGCCUUACGAGCUUGGUCGGAGUGUUUGCUUACUGCCAUUUCAAUAUGUGUAGCUUGAUUCAUCAAAUUUGUAGCAUCUUCUCUAGCCUUAUUAUGAACACUCCCAACCAGUCUAACAUGCAUCUUAAAUCUUUCUCUCCCUUUCUUCCAAGUCUUAAAUCCAUCUCCAGUGAAAGCUUCACUAUCCACUUGUGCAAAAUUGGUUUUAAAGAGAUAGCAAUAGAGACAAAAUGCUGCAUCUUUAGAUAUACUAUACUCCAACCAAUCAAACUCAUCAAACCAUUGGGGAAUGAAAUGUCGAUUAAUUCCCGACAUAUUAGUUAUUGGAAAAUUAUGACCUCUAGGUUGACAAGGUCCUUUUUGUAGAUAUGAUCUUCGGACCUCAUCUCUCAUAUUAGCAUUAUAAUCCAUUAUUCGAGUUCUCAAUCCAGGAUCUGCUUCAAGAUUACCCAAAACACCAUCUAACUGACUUUGUCUUGAACUUGGAGUUCUUGAACUACCAACAGUAUUUGAACUAUCAACAUUAUUCGAACUACCCGAACCCGAUGAUGACUUUCUCUUAAAAAACCGUUCCAUAAUAAUUUUACAUAUACAAAAUAUUCAAAAUAAAUACUCACAAUAUAAACAAACCAUCAACAUAAUCAAAAUAAAUAUGAAUUGGAUUUCAAUUAAAUUAAAUAUCUCAUCUUGCAUUCUACAUAUACAAAAUAAUGAAAAUAAAAACUCACAAUAUAAACAAACCAUCAAUAUAAUCAAAAUAAAUAUGAAUUGAAUUUCAAUUAAAUUAAAUAUAUUCUACAUAUACAAAAUAUUCAAAAUAAAUACUCACAAUAUAAACAAACCAUCAACAUAAUCAAAAUAAGUAUGAAUUGGAUUUCGAUUAAAUUAAAUAUCUCAUCUUGCAUUCUACAUAUACAAAAUAAUGAAAAUAAAAACUCACAAUAUAAACAAACCAUCAAUAUAAUCAAAAUAAAUAUGAAUUGAAUUUCAAUUAAAUUAAAUAUAUUCUACAUAUACAAAAUAUUCAAAAUAAAUACUCACAAUAUAAACAAACCACCAAUAUAAUCAAAAUAAAUACGAAUUAGGUUUCAAUUAAAUUAAAUAUAUCAUACAUAGGGUUUAGAACUUACUUGAAUUGUGAAAUUUCACAAUAACAAUGAGUAAAUACAAAGAGCAAAGCUGGUGGCACCACCACUACAGUGACGACGAUGGCAGCACAAAGGCACCUUAAUGGUGGCAUCAAUGGAGGAGAUGGAGUUGAGGGUUUGGGGGGGAUUGAUUUUGGAACUUAGGGUUGGAGGAGGAGAAAACAAAAGAAAUUUGGGGGUUUUAGAAUGAAGGGAUUUAGAUCUGUGUGAAAUAGGGCUGAAAAGGACACGCUGGGUAUUUUUUUUUGUUCACACCUGCCCAGGACACACUGGGCAUUUUUUUUGUUCAGACUUGGCCCAAAACGACGUCGUUUUGGCCAGGUCAUUUAAAAAAUUUUCCUGGGCCAAAACGACGUCUUUUUGCCUAGGUUGUUUUGAAAAAAAAAACAGGCGCGUGAGCGCCUUCGUCUUCAACCUGCUGCCUAGCCGAGGACUUUUCGUCGAACACUUGGUGUGCAGCCAAGGGGUUGCACCAGCAGCUCCAAGGGGUCUCUAAGGUUGUUUCCAUGGCUUCCAAGGGGUCGUGCGACCCCAUUGACCCCACUGUGGAUCCGCCACUGGUCAAACGCAACCAUGGUGUUCUGGGUCUUUGGAUAUGGUUCACUUGUGUGGAACCCAAGAUUCGAGUACAACGAGAAAGUGAUAGGUUACAUCAAGGACUACAGGCGUGUGUUUGAUCUUGGUAUGUGUCAUUAGUCUCUGGACUGGAAGAAAUUGGAUGUAUUAUUGUACUUUCGAUUCGUUACAUGUCGUUUGAUUGUCACUGAUUGUGGUCAUAAUGUUUUUGAAUUGUGAAGCGUGCAUUGAUCACAGAGGUGCACCUGAGCACCCUGCUCGGACUUGCACUUUGGAGUACCAAGAAGGAGCUGUAUGCGUAAGUAACACUCUAGAGUACUACAGAUACCCAUUAAACGUUCACUUAUUUUUGAGGUUUUUGUUGUAUGGUUCAUUCAAUUAGCGUUUCGUUCUAACAUUCAAACUGUUCCAACAGUGGGGUGCUGCUUAUUCUGUUCGUGGAGGGCCGGAAAGGGAGAAAUUGGCAAUGGAGGUACGCUUUUUCAACAAUAAAAUUUAUCUUUGUGGUGAUAGAUUGUCAGUUGAGAGUGUUGGAUAUACUUGCUAGAGUAGGAAAACAUACAUUUUUAGUUGGUGUUUUGGUUUAUGAAACCAGCGAUCUUUGUCAUACUGUUUGGAUCGAAAUUUACAUCAUCGGCCCGUGCAAUCAAGGUCGUUGAGUAAGCAUAGUUCUCAACCGUCGAAUGAAAAAGUGAAGAUAUUUUUGUUAAAGGAUAAUAUUAUGGUUUUAUUAUAAUAAUCUUUUAAUAUGAAUUAUCUUGACAUAUUCUUAAACGAGAUAAAUAGUAUGCAGAUUAUAUCCCCAAACAAGCGGUACAAUUCAAAUUGAUGUGGAUAUUUGGCAUGUGGACAUGUGGUUUGGGUCAGUUUUGGUUGACAGAUAUGCACAUCAUCAGAUAAUGAAGCAUGCAGGAUGGGAUAUUAUUCAUUUAAAAUAUGGUGAUAAUAAAAAAUGAAUUUGAAGUUCAGGAUGCAUGCAGCAAUUUUGGUAAAAGAUGAUGAGAGCCUAGGAAAGCUAGGUUUUUGGUGAUGAUGUGGUGAUGUGAUAAGCCUAGGAUUUGAUGGUGAUGGAGUUAUGAUAAGAAGCCUAGGUAGGCUAGGUCUUUGGUCAUGAUGGGAUAAACCUAGAUGGGUUUUUUAUUUGAAAAGUCAGCCACACGGAUCAUUUCAUUCUGCAAGUUGGAGUUGCAGUUGGACUCCACAAUUAUCUAGCCAUGUCAAGCAAAUAUCAACCCUAUAAAUACAAGGCACUAUGCAACGUAAAAAGGACCUCCAACUCAACACACAAAUUGCCCUGUGCAAACCCUCGUUCUAAGCGAAACCUCUGAAACAUCUUGAGAUUUUUUAUUUUAUUUUUCGCCAACAUAUCUUCAGUUUGGAUAAAUAGCACUGUGAAGGCAACCGGCGAACAUCUUCAGUUUGGAUAAACAACACUAUUGUCAUAGAAUCAGCCGACCGCGGAGCACCUUCAGUUUGGAUAAACAGCACUGCGUCGAGGUCGACUGGUUAUCUAUCCAAGUCUCGGUCGAGGAGGAUUUUUGAAUCCUUAUUGGCAGAGGUCAUCUCAUUAGCCUUUUCGGCGAAGUGAAGUGUUACAAGUUAUUACAUUCGGCACAUUGAAAGCUGAAUUUGAUAUUGAACUUCGCAAAACUAGCAGUCUUGUCUUCAGGCUCUAGAACCAGAAGGCCGAGAGUGUUCCUUCCUCGGCCGCAGUUGUGAGAUUUGGAAGUCAGCAGCGCACCCAAUGCAACAUCAACAAAUUUUACUCAUCGGCCGAGCUCGGUCGACGAGUUGGCACGCCCGCAUACAACCGAAUGACGUAGUUAGCUCAUUAGUUACUCGGCCUGCGCGCCACAUAAGCUUGGUAGUUUUUAGGGUCAACACAUACCCUCUUCAGCGAAUAGUCAUGCUUAAUACAUUUCUUUUCUUUGCAGUACUUGGAAAGGAGAGAAUGUCAAUAUGAUUCAAAGACUCUCGUUGACUUUUAUAAGGUAAGAGUAGUUUGAAUAUUACUCUACCUUCAUCCCUGGACUAGCCGGUUUUCUUUACAUUGGGGAUUUUUGGUUAUUGUUUUGUACUCCUUGCCAUAACAUUUGCUUUCUGUGUGUACAGGAAGGGGAGUUCUCUGAGUCUGACCCUUCCUUGACGGGAGUUAUUGUGUAAGUCAUUUUGUUGUAGAUCCCUCAUUUCAUGCACCUCAUGAGAGAGAACAAUUUAGAAAUGCUGUGUUGUGCGAAGUGUCCCUAACCUAACUUGUUCAUGAUAUUGCAGUUUCACGUCCACUCCAGACAAAAAAUCGAACAAGUAUUACCUUGGUCCUGCUCCAUUGGAGGACAUGGCAAGGUAAUGCAGAUUGCAAUUUGUUCUGGUUUUAGCGGAGUUGAUGAUGGUUGUAAUUAUUUUUGCAAUAAAGUUUUUAUCUCUCAACCGCUUCCAUUGAUCAUUAAGUAUUCCUAUUUCAGGCAAAUUGCAACAGCUUUUGGGCCCUGAGGAAACAAUAGAGACUAUCUCUUUCUGUUGGAGAAGGCUAUGUUCGAUAUAGGUGAGCAAACUCGUCACCCGCAUUCCUCUUUAUGAAUCAAAGUUAUCCGUGCAAGGUCCAUGACCUGAUUUUCUUAAGUUCUACAUUAAAUACGUGUAGAUGUUUAUACUGAGUAAUGAAUUUCUGACAUGAACAGGCCAUGAAGAGGACUAUGUGAUAGAGUUAGCAAAUGAGGUGAGGAAGGUUCUUGGAAUUGCCGGAAAGGAUUUCCAAGGGAGAAGAAGUUGGCCGGGCCAACCCACCUCCCGCUCAAGUCCAACAUCCCGGCUCUCCAACUGCUCCCGGAAGCCAUCGCCAUGGACUCGUGACAUUUGAACACAGAUGAAGCUGCAGAGUGCUAACCCCAUAUAUCCAUCUCCCUAGUUUCAGAUUAAGAUCCUUUCGGCUUUUUUUUAUUCCCCUUGUUUUGGUCAAGCUUAUUUUUCAGAGGCAUUUGCUGAUGCCGUAGAAGAGAUUAGGUAUGAGGAAAAACUAACUGCUGUUCUUCCCUUUUUUUCCUUUUUCCCUUUUGAUACAAUGUGGGAUGUAACAGUUACGGUUAUUUUAAUUUAAGGAAUUUUACAUUGAUGUUGAUGUUUUUAUUUCCAGUUCCCAGCUUAAAUACGCAUUUUCCUUUCUUUAUUUCCCAGCUUAUAUAUUCCGUCCGGUAAGAGCAUUUAUCUCUGAUCUCGAAAUGCCCCUUCAAUUUUUGAGUGUCAAAUAAUAAAACUUACCUAUCCACCCUCUUGAACGUUUAUAAUUAGGCAAAUUCCUCCCUGUCAUUAGAGUUUUGAAUUUUUAUCCAACAUUUUGUAUGUCCAACUUUGUUUCAUGCUGUUGCGUUAGAACUGUUGAGGGUAGAAAGGUCAUUUUGUCCCUCAGUAAACAGUGAAAGAAGUUAAGUUGGUGGUUCAAUAUUUUGUCUGUGGAAGUGAAGACAUGAUUUUGCGGUUAAGAAGAUUGUCUUCUACAUGGACAACCCACUAAAAUGCUUAUGCUCUCAAUAGAGAGAUCUCUGAGUGACCGUUACACAGGAAGGUAUAUUAUAUGUCAUUAUACAAAUGAUGGAAUAUGUGUACCAAAAAGUUAAUAACUUAAAUAAUAAAAAUUUCCCACCACUUCUAUUAAAACACAUGAUGUAUCACUUGUAUUCCAGUCAUAAUGAAAAAAUUUUCCUCAACCAUACUUGUCAAAAGUUAACCGUGCCUUCCAAGAGUGCACGGACCAACCUUUAAUGGUCUCGUAACCUCUACAUUAAUGUCUUUAACGUACGUUUUAUAUGCUUUAUCGUUAUAUCCACCUAAGUACAAUAAUGUUUUUUUGUGUAGUCAAACUCGAAUUUGAAAGAGUUUUAAAAAGGAGUAGGAUUCUCUAUCCUCCUAAUCUCUCUACCCUUCCAUGCCCUUCUAUUUGAACGAUCACGGUUAAGUCACGUUAAUAUCUUAUAUUCAUUUUUUUUAUAAAAAUAAUAAGACAAAAAAUAAUGUGUGAGAGGAGGGCAUGGAAAUGGAUGUGAAUAGGAGGGUAGAGAAUCCUAUUCUUUUAAAAGACUUCAAAAUUCUAGUGUAGUCAACUAAAAGAUUUUAAAGGAUUUUAGAACUCAUGCAAAUCCAAGUGUAGUCCAUUGAGAUUUUAUUAAAGAUUUUAAAGUCCGUUCAAAUCACUAUGUUUCGAUGAGGGAAAUAAACUUGAAAUUUGGAUAAAAGUCAGAAUUUGUAAAUUGACAUGCACCAAUUCUAUUGUUUGGAUUCAUAAACAUAGGAAUUUAGAAUUUCCGCAUGAAAAAAAACUUGGAAUUUGGGACCUUCAAUUCUCAAGUUUAAAUUCCAUAUAAAUGGGUGUCAUUUCCCAAUUUCUAUGAUUGAGAGCUUAAAAAUAACAAAUUCCAUAUUCAAUUUUAUUGUUCUUUUAAGCUAACCAAACAAAAAAAAUCACAAAUUCUAAAAAAUAAAAUUAUGUCAAUUCAAAUUCCGUCAUUUUAAAAUUUCUUAGUAAUCUUAAAUUUUUUCGUUCAAACAUAGUGAGUGUAUUUAGAAAAUUAAGAUUUUAGAGGAUUUUAAUAAAUUGUGAAUUUUGUGGAAUUUGAGAGUAAGAAGUAUACAUAACCAAGACAAAAUAGAAUCCGACCUCAACCCCUAGGAUUUCAAAUCUUUUUCCAUCUGAGCAGUCCUCAAAUCUCUACCAACCCCAAUCACAUGCAAAGCGACACAAACGAACACCAAUCAAGAAAUGUUGCCUGACUAUCGUCUCUAGCUUCUCUCAAAAUGUUGCCGAAAUUGAUGGUAAUAAAACAGAUUCCCGCGACGAGGAUGGGUUCGAUGUUCCUCCAAAUGCUUCCAGACUUGCUGAUGAAACAGAUUUUGGCGACGAGGUUGAGAAGGCUGGUUUUUUGAAGGUUGCUGCAAUUGACAGCAAACUAGAACAUCUGCUAAAUUAUAAAAAAUUGGAAUGAAGAAAGGUCAGUCGUUGCUCAUUGGUGAUAGUUGCUGGUGGCGUAGUGCUCAAAAACUCAACAAAGGUAUCUAUCAAUCGAGAGAGAGAUAUGAACUCAUUCGGUAAGAGCAAUUCAUUAACAUAAAGGCUCUGAACCCCAGUAGAUGCAAAGGUCAAUCUUUUCAAUCUAAUAAUUUAUAAACAAACAAAUUAUUCGUGUUUCAGAACGCUGUGUCUCUGCGUCUCAGCACUCUCACCGAUAGGAGGACGUACUUACACUUCGUUUUGUGAAUCGAAACAAUGUGGAGUUGGACCUUACUUUUCAUACGUGCAAGUGCAGCACCAAACCUCUGCCAAGCAAAGUAAUGCUCACAACACAACAUUCAAGUCAUACGAUCAACUGAUUCUGAAUUUGUACUUCUGAUCAGUUCCCUUGAAGAACAAUUAACGGAUACCAGUAAAGCACUUGGAGCCUACUCUUCAUCCUCACCAUCUCUCCCCUCCUCAAGAUCGCAUCAGAUUCCAUGCAGCUUUCGUGGUUUUGAACUAUAAUGCAAUUAUAUUCCCCGGCAACAGUUUCUUCUUCUGCAUUGCUUCCUAUACUGAGAUCAAACCUUAUUCUUUUGUGAGAUAGAUUCUCAGCGUAUGAGUCAUCACCUCGUCUUGCUGCCUCAUGAUUUCUGCCUUCCUUGUAUUCACUUGAAUAUGACUUGGACUCACAGUCAAGCGUAUAUUUAUUGAUUUAUUCCUUAGGUUGUGUUGAUGCACAAAAUUAGUGAGGACUUUAGUACAACAGAAAGUGUUAAGUUUGUGACCUUCGCUAGAUUACUCCGGUCACUAGUGUGGAUAAAUAUGUAAAUGAUAGAGAUAGGGAAGCAAACACAAGAUGUAUGUGGUUCACCCAGAUUGGCUACGUUCACGGAGUAGAGAAGUUCUCAUUAAUUGUGAAUGGUUUACACAAGUACAUAGGUUCAAGCUCUCCUUUAGUGAGUACUAGUGAAUGAUUUAGUACAAAUGACAUUAGAAAAUAUUGUGGGAGAAUGAUCUCCUUUUAUAGAAUAGAGUUUCUAGCUUUGUUUUGACAUUGACACGUGUCGUAUUGUGAUUGGCCUCCUGGUUGGAGGGAAACUCUUUUGAGUCUUUGACGGUAUAACGUUGACCGAUACUCAGUAAUUUCGGGAUUGGUCAAGUAUGGUACAAACAUGUUGGACACCCCUAUACAAUGAAGGUCCAGGAAGAAAAAGGCCACCAUUUCCGCUUGCACUCCAUCCCCAUACCAUGCGCAGCAAGAUUUGUAUGAGCAAUUAAUACAUGCAAAAUAAGAGAGAGAGAGAGAAAGAGAGAGAGAGAGAGAGAGAGAGAGGACCCGUAGGAUUGCUUCCUUAAAAGCAUCCUUGAGAUUGUGCACCCUUCCAUAUGAAUCCUAGGCAUGGAGGUUAACGACUUAUCCAGGCCUGGAAUUUCAGUGAGUUUGGGGGAGUAAUUCAGAUGCAAUUCUCUCCGGCUCGACAUCUCCGAAAAAUGCGGCAUUCUUUCCAAUGCAAUGCACUGAUUCGCUUCCAGAAUUUCGAAACUUGUUGGUAAAUCCGGAAUUGCCUGAAGCUUUGUGCAAUUACCCAACCGUAAAGUUUGAAGCUUUGAAAGGCCAGUGAGUGAGGAUAGGUAGUGCACUAAAAUCAUUGCCUCUUAGAUCUAAAACUUCUAAAGAAGAUAUAGAUCUGAGAUCCUCAGGAAUUGCACCACUUGUUAAAUUGGUGUUCGCAAGAGAGAAAUAUUUAAGGCACUUCAAUUGUACUAUGGAAGGGUGAAUCUCGGACAAACUCUUGCAGUCAUUGAGUAUCAAUCUCUCGAGAUUGGGGAGUUUUGAAAAGUCUGGUGAUCUUUUUAGGCGACAGCAAUAACCCAGAUUAAGAAAAUUCAAUUUCUCAAGCCGCUGUCAGACAAAAACGAAAACAUAAAUUAAAAUCCAAACAGAAGAGAGAAAGCACGAUGACAGUACUUACAAAACCUGGAAAAGAAUCAAUAGUUUGGUUGAGAUUAUGCAGUACCACAUCGGAGUCCUUCCAAACUUGCAUUUGACUAUGACUCAGGUCGAUAUCAACUAGGUUUGGUUGAUUAAAAUCUUCUGGCAUGACUUCUAGAGGAAACUCAGGCCAACACAACCAUGCUAGCUUUUUGGAAAGAUAUGUGCAGUUCCCGGUGAACUUUACACCUUUGAGUUUGAGCAACCUCAGUCUCCACAUCUCUCUAAGUGCUUCUGUACUGAAGCUAGGCUCAUUAGAUUCAUGCAAAUCUAAAAUGAGUCCUUCAACUUCCUCUGUUCCCUGUUAGAAAAGCAAAAGGAUUUUUAAAAAAGCUACGGAAAGGGUUAUAUGCAUGCGAAAAGAUGAUUUUUACAGGAAGCAAUGCAAUGAAUUGGAUUCUUCAAGUAAGAACUAAGAAAAAUGAUUAUUUGCAUUUGGGAUACGCACACACUUCUAUUUCAUUGCAUACGUGCUCUUUAUACAAUUUGAUUGCAGAUGUACUUAGUUACUUACAGAUUUGUUCCUCAGUACGUCUUUUACAUCUUCAUGAUCCCACAAUCUACAACGUUUUCCAGUGAUGUUAGGAGAUUUUGCACGUACAAUUUCUCUGCCCAUAUCUCGAAGCAAAUCAUGCAUUAUAAGGUUGUUUCCUUCAUCAACAGUUACAAGGCACCGAUCAUGGAGUUCUCUCCGAUUCCUAUAUUUGGAUCGAAGUCACAGCCAUCUAAUAUUGUCAUGACAUAGUCCUUGUUCAUUCCAAUAAAGAAACAAGAUAUGUCAAGAAAUAUAGCCUUCACGUCAUCAUCAAUUAGCCCAUCGUAGCUCAUUUUAAGCUUUUCAUAAAUCUUCCUGUGAGGUUUUCUUUUCAAUUUGCGCAGUGCACUUCUCCAUUCUCUUUUGGUUUUUGAACUUAAAGAACCUAAAACUUCAAGCACUAGUGGCAACCCUCCACAGUAAUCAACAACCUUUUUUGCGAGUUCAAGAUAUUCAUCAUUGUUAGGAUGACUAUUCCCGAAGGCAUGCCAACUUAGGAGCUGACGAGCUUCCUCAUUAUUCAUUGUUUGUGCCAAACACGUCUUAUCGACUCUAAUGAACUUUAGCAAUUGUUCAUCUCUUGUUGUUACAAUAAUUCUACUCCCUCGACCAAAGGACUCAUGUUUUAUAGCUAACACUUCUAGUUGUUCCACACAGUCUGUUCCAACCCCACCCACAUUCUAUUUAAAAAAAUGGUUUUUAGUUUUUAAUUGGUGAGCCCAAGGGGCCCACCCCUGAAUUUUUGUCUCCCGAGUCUCUUAUCUCUUCCCUCUCAGUCUUCUCUUUCUUCCCUUUCCCCGUACUCUCUCUCUAAACACUUUCUUUUAUCUCUCCGGCGCCGAGAAGGAAACCAGCCACCACAAGCGCUCGUUCCUUCACAAAUUUAACCCCAAAUCUUGAUACUUCGAACCUUUGGGACAUAGGGAACACGACUACAACUUUGCAUGCAAUAUCAGAGCAACUCCGAGUGCUCUACCAUUGAAGACCCGGGAGCUUUGAGCUCUCACCUUCAAUCUUAGCCGUGUUAUCCGCUGCAUGUGCAUGCAUACUUUCCCCAAGGACGAACUCUGGCGAGUUGUUGCUGUGGGUGCACGGAUCCCUUCAAAUUCAAACCCAGGUAAUUAAUUACCUUGUUUGGUUGAUCAAUGCCAAAUGUGUGUGUGCAGUACGAUGUAUGUGUGGGGUGGGUUGCGCUAUGUGUGUGUGUGUGUUAACUGUGUGUGUAGGUGUACCUGUGUAUGUGUGUGUAUUGUUGUGUAUGGGUGUGUGCGUGUACAGUGUGUGUGUGUGUUCGUGUAGGUGUGUUCGUGUAUGGUGAGUGUGUGUGAGUGAGUGUGGUGCACAUGCGUGCGUGUGUGUGUUAUGCCAUGCGUGUGUGUGUGUGUGUGUUGUGCUGUGUGUGCAGGUAUGUGCAUGUGUGCUGGGCAUGCAUGUGUGGGUGUGUGCUGGCAUGUGUGUGUGAGUGUUGUGUGGGUUUGGGCUCAAGCCCAAACCACCCCCCCUUUUGUUCCUAAACCUAUCCAAACCGAAAACCCAAUAAGUCCUAACAAUAUUUAACCUAAACCUAAACCCUAAUCCGGAUCCAAACCCAGACCCAUUUCCAUUUCUUGGAAUUCUAUAGUUGGGUAGUUUGAUAAAUUGUAUAUUUUUGUGCUUAGGUGAAGUUGCUAAUGGGGAUUUCUUUAAUCAUUUUCCGAAAAAUUCUGCUGCUACGGAGUAUCUGUGAGUGGACCCCUUUCUAAAAUUUGCAUAAUUUUAUAGUAUUUGCAUAAAUGAAAUGCAUGCCUUACGAGUUUAUGAAUUGAUUUUUAUGUGAAGCAUGUUUAUGAAAAAUGUUGAUUAUCGUUCGUUAUUUUGUAAGGAAUUAAUUGUUAGCCUAUAUUGAGCUAUAUUUUAAUAUAUUGUAUUUUCUAUAAAAACCAUGAACUGGUAGACUAUCUGAUGGAUAACGAUAGGAUGCUAGAAAAUGUUUUAGAAACCCCUCUUUAUAGUAUAGACGAUAGAUGACUUUAUACUAUGAAGUGGUUAUUUAUGAGAGACGUAACUAUUUGUGCGUACCUAGUGGACACUAUGCUGCCUGCAGGGCAAAGAUCUGGUGUUGGCAGAUAGGCCGGGAGAAAUAAUCCCUAGCUACGAGCUGAAGGACACGGAGCAGGCAUUGGGUCGGAAGUUGGUAAUCUGGCUACGGGCGUAGAGACCACGAUGCUGGCAUAGGGCCGGAAGAUAUAUUUAUUCAGUGAUCUUACUAGCAGUACAUCGCGCUACGAAACAAUCUGUGAGACAUUUGAUAUUUUGAUUUCCACGAUAUGUCUUUUGAGAUGUUUUUGGCAUGCUAGGGUUUUUAGUAAAACUAUCACUUAUUAUGCUAGUAGUUUUCUUUAUAUAAACUGUGGGGGUUAGUAUCUUGAUAACUGUUUUAUUAUUAUUGUAUAUAUGAACUUGGUCCACUCACCUUUGUUUUGCGCCCCCAUUCAGGUCUUAGAAACGAGGACUACGACACGACGUAUGAGGCAUUCCCCUACCAGCAGCAAUCUAUCACUCAUUUGUGUGAUAUUUUGCAAUGAUCUUUUUUUUUAUAUUAUAUAUAUCUUGUUUUAGAACGUGUUCUGUGCACUCUAGACAUUUCCUUAAACUUUGUUUAUUACUUUUAGAUUCUAAGGAUUAUUCAUGCUUAUUUCCUCCUAAUCAUUACUCUUGUAUUCAAUAACUGGCUUUCGUCACCCUCAGGUGUCAGCCAGCACAUACCUAUUCGGAUAUUCGGGGAAUAUCGGGAUUGGGACGUGUCACAGUCUAUGUCAUCAAUUAUGACAAGUACCUUUGUGCCACGAAGUCUUUCUUGUAUCUCCUUGGUUCCUUCAUCCACACUACUUACCUCUAUGUUGGCAGUUUCAAGAUAUCACAAAGAAGUUGGUUUUGCAGUUUAACCAUACUCUCUUCCCUCACUUUUGAAAGGAAACUUUUACCUUCAAAGCUUUGAUGAACUCUAUUGAAAAUGGCUUUUGCAACCGUUAUCUUGCCUGUUCCGACCAUGCCCAAAAUUCCAACAAUGCGAACAUCAUAUGAUCCUCCAACAUCUAAAUCAUUGAUGAUUUCUUGCACACGAGAAUCUAUUCCAAUUUCUUUGGCGGCUAUGUUUAAGUAUGUGUUGUUCAAUUUCCUCGUGAUGUCGUUCACAAUUUUCCUUAUGAACUUACCUUCGUACCUGUUAACAAAAAUUUGCAAAGUAAGAAGAAUUAAGAAUCAUAAACUGCAGGAUUAAACUCAACUAAUAACCUUCGUACAUGAUAACAACUUUUGGGAGCGAAUAAAAUUUGAAUAUAUGGUUCAGCUUCUGAGAACAAUCCUUCGAACAAACAAUGGCGCAUUAUAUUGAUCCAAGUGAUUAGCUCAAUUCGACCACACUGAUAGAUCAAGCAUUUAAAAAUACUCUCUCUCUCUCUCUCUCUCUCUCUCAGAUACACAUCAGGUUUCUACUCUUUGCAUUAGCAGCAUUACAAUGUGUAAACUGAUCAAGGUUCUAAGCCCUAUCAUUUUAUAGUUUAUUGACAUUUUGUAAUAGAGGCUUAAGAAAAUUCAACACAUGAAGUUGGCAAUUAAAGGUUGCUAAACUGAAACUAAUACAUCAACGUCGUAACUAGCAUGACGGCCACCACAUGGGCUAUAAUCCAGGUAUUUUUCUCGUGAAAAGUUCGAAUAUAAUCCGCAUAUCAAUAUAUUGUUGAAAUGUAAUCUUGUCUUUGGCCCAAGACAAUUGAUCUGGCCCAUACACAAAGAAAGAUUCAUGCCACUAAAGAAUUUUAGCAAAGUUCAAGUUAGUGGAAGAGUAUAGAAGAAUGGUGAGGAUUCCAUCAACAUACAAGAUUAAUGUAGAUAUUCUAGCUUAGGAAUGUAGUGGAAUUAUCUAGAUAUAUCUAGCAUGAUGCUUCCAUGCUUCUCCAAGGUUCCAUCCAUGCCUAUAAAAGGAGAAGGCAUCCACACCAUUUGUAACAACCAAGAGAGCAAGUAGUGAGAAGUGAGAAGAAGCAACAAAGCUUCUAAGAGUGUUUGAGUGUUUCCUUUUGUACUAAUUUGUGAGUGAAUAAAAAAAAUUUGUGUAAAAACUUUUAGUGUUCUUUCUUUCUCUUGCCUAUCAAUUCCGCUGCAUUACAUUCUUCUUUGUGAGAUAAACAUCUCCAAAGAAGUGAAGUCUUUUUAAACCCCAACAUAUAUAUCUUAAAGUAUAAUUCACCCAAAUUAAGCCUAAGUCAAGUUCAUUUUGUAUCUUUACUCAAUUUAUUAAAACAAUCCCCUUAUGACUCUGGUUUUUAAUCUUAACUCUCUAUUGUUUAUUGAUUUCUCCAUAUUAUCUCUUGAUUUUUCGUCGAAAAUUCUUUUUAGCAACCAACAAGUCACCAUAUAACAAUUUGCUAGCCCACUUUGGUAAAAAUUUAUAGUUCCACACUUAUAAUACAUCAUCCUGUAAAAUACAUGCUAUGUAUGUAAAACCAGUAAGUUAAAAAGUAACAUAGAAAUUACCGAUCAGUGUUUCUAAGGUUCCCAACACACAAAUUUGCAGCUUCAGUAAGAGCAGAUCUCCACCUCUGGACUUUAUCUGUAUCUCUAUGGAAGCGCUCUGCGUGCUUCUGAAAUGCUUCUGCAACACUACCAGUCUGGUUCCUAACAUCCGUUGGAUCGACGUUGUAGAAUAUUGGUAGAACAAUUUGCCCAAGUGUUCUUCUGCACUCCAUGAUCUUCUCUAGCUCCUCAAGGCACCAUCGGGAUUCCGCGUACCGUUUUGAGAAGAUGAUGACGGACAUCCUGGACCGUCUGAUCGCUUCCACCAGUUCAUCUGUUAUGUUUUCUCCUCUUGGAAGUCCAUUCUCGUCAAUGAAGAUGUGAAAUCCCAUCCCCGGAAUUUCAUCAUUCAUUAUGUAUCUCGUAAUUUAAAUUCGUAUUUCGCAAUUACGUUAUCUUUAUUAGUUAAUUUUAAGUUUAGUAAUUGAUUAGUUAUCGAGUUGGAAGUUUCAUAAUCAAUUUUUAUCUUUCGUUGACCUUUUGAAGUUAUAACUAGUGUCUUUAAAUAGAUAUCGAACCCACGAACGCAUAGGUGAAAGCUGUUUGCGAGUCCGAAUUAUAACGGUAUAGUUACAAACAUUUGAAUUUAUGAAACUUUGGGUUGUGGAAAUGAUUUAAUUCCCGCUUGAGAGUAAAAAGGCCCAAAAGUAUAAGUGGGUUAAGGGAAUCGGUUAUUAGGAGUAAAAAGGGAGUUUUUUUUUGGGGGGGGGGGGCGCUAAUCCUUUUAUUAGAGGAGAAAAAAAAAAUAGGAAGGUGGACAUUCUUCUUUCUUUCCCCCCAUUUCUUGAACCCGUGUACCACAGUAGCCAUUUCUUUCACAACCGGUCAAUUUCAAGCCAACUUCUACCAUUUCUCAAUUGACUUUCCUAUUUCCUUCACAUGCAACCUGUUCAACUACCUUCCUUCUUCCAUCCUCAUGGAAAAUCAAGGGUUUUUAAGGUCUAUUUCAUGUAGAACUCCAUAGGAGAACUCGGGGGUUCUUGACGACGAAUUGUCAUUCCAGAGAGUAUCACCAUUCACCAUCACCCUUAAUCAACUUCCCUUGGACCCAAGAACAAGACCCAACUGGUGGUUGGGGCGUUGGAACACCAAGGAAGACGAAUUGAAGAACACCCACCUUAGGGUUUUGUUGGGUGCGAGCCAAUUUGAGGGCAUUCCCGGCCAAAUUGGACUCGGUCAUAGGUAUAAAGUUUACUCUACUUGUUGAGAUCUUCAUUCUUGUAAAAUUUGAGAAUUUUUGGAAAAAAUCGAAUUUUCUGAUAUGUGACAUUCGAUUUAUGAAAAUGCUAUUGAUUGUAUAUAUUAUCGAUAAGGUCUGCCACUUGAUUAUUCUAACAAUUGGCGAUCUUAUCAUUGAAUUGACACCAAAUUUUAGUAUGCUAUUGUAGAUAUUGUUUAAGGACCUUAGGGACUUAUAAGUGAAAAUCUAAUGAUUGGAUUUUACGAAGCAAAUGACGUAAGAUCAUGGACUCUACAUUAGAACGACGGUUCGAUUCCUCAGUAAAUGUUGUUGUGGGAGAGAUAUGAGAAUUUUUGAGUAUGUGAAUUAUCGAAGGAAAUCUAAAUGUGGACUUGUGCUUUGUUAGGCGGUGAUAGAACGUGAUGCCUUGACUAUCGUGCUAGGGUACAUUAACACGGACUCCAGGUGAGUGCCUUUAAUAUAUGUGAUAUUGGUAAUUACCAGGUUGUCAUAAUUAUGAUCCUGUGUGGAUAUGAAUUGGUUUUAUGAAUAUGUUCUAUUGAAUUGUUAUUCCAAUACUUCGACAUCAAUUUAUGUUCAUGAAAUGGGGUGUGGCAUGUAUAUUGGAAAUGUGGUUUGAUUUGUAUGAUUGGCAUGUUGAGAUUAAUGUGAGGACUAGUAAUGGACCGUUAACCAUUAUGAUGGGGAUUUGUUGCUUCGAUAUUGUUUCACCUUCCGCUUCGGUGAUUGGUUCUAAAUUUAGUAAUUGUGCCUAAUCUCCCUUUGUUGAGUUUUUGUAAAUUAAGUAGCCUGUGCUGGUCUCAUUUCUUUGAGCCGUCGUACAUUCUGGUUGUUAGUCUUCUGCGAUUCCGUUGAGUGAUGGUCCGGAAUCGUAUCCACUCGGAUUCCAUUGAGAGAUAGUCCGGAAUCCCUUCUAUUCCGCGAUUUCGUUGAGUGAUGUUCCAGAAUCGUAUCUAAUUUGGGUUUCAUUUAGUUAUUGUUAUGUAUUGUACUUAGCGAUUCCGUUGAGUGAGGGCCCGGAAUCGUAUCCACUUGGAUUCCGUUGAGAGAUGGUCCGGAAUCCCUCUUAUUUCGCGAUUCUGUUGAAUGAAGGUCUGGGAUCGUACUCACCUUGGGAUUUAUUGAAUUUGAAUUGAGAUGGCUUCAAAGGUGUAGGCUUCGGCCAAACUGUGUCAUUCUAACUCUACUUUUCAUUGUGUUGUAUGAGAAGAUGGUUGUGAUUGGUUUCCGACGAACCGUUGGAUGUCGGGGUGACUCCUUCGGGGUUUACAAAAGUUGGUAUUGAUUUCUUAUGAAUGAUUUAUAUUCAAGAUAUGUAAAUUGUGUUUGAUGGUUGGCAUUAGCAUUAUUCUCACAUACUUGAUAUUAUUGUCACUCUCAUAAGCUUCGCAACUUAUCCAGGUUGUUGUUGGCCUGGUGCACCAUUUCGAUGGUGUAGACAUUGAUCGUACAGGUGACAGGUUUGAGUAGACUUAGAGAAGUUUGUAGGUGGGGGUAGCAGUGCAGUUAUUAGAGACUUGGAGCGUUAGGUUACCCUUGUUUCACUCUUGUGCUUUAUCUUUUGGGACUUUCUUUUGAGCACCUCAUACUUGUUCUUAGUAAAUCAAAGAUUAUGCUUCUUUUUGGGAUGUAAAUAAUUGUAAAUAUUUUGUGGAGAACUUAGCCACCUUCACAUUAUUUUGGGUUAUCAGUUAAAGUAUUUCAUUCCGUAACUUAUACCGUAUUCAACAAACAUUAUUUUCCGUGUCACGUGUCGAUUCUCGAUGUAUGUUGGGAUCGGGACAUGACAGAAGAUUUUGACUUUGUUGUCUAUUAAUGUGCAGUAGAGGUUGUCGGUGAAGGUCCGACAGGUUUCUUCACCUUUAAAGCUCAAGAACACGUCAUGCUUCCAUUGUUUCAAGGAGGAGGGUAAAGAUGCAGAUGAGGGAUCGAUAGCUGUGAUGGUAGUAUCCAUGGAUUGUUGUUGGCAGAGCUUGUUGUGGCUUUACCAGGUGAUCUGCAAAUACCAAGUCAACUACUCGCUUCAGUGGCACUUCAGUCUCCCUAAAUCAUGAAGGGAAAGUGUUUUUUUCCAUCCACAGAUUUAAAUCCAACUUUACCCCUCAUAAUUAAAUUAAAGUCAACAAACCACCUAAAGGUCAACAACCAUCAGUCAAAUCCACGGACAAGGAUUGUCUACCCUCCUUGUUCCCGUGCCCUCCCUUACUCUCCUGUUUUGUGUGAUCACGGUUAAGCCACGUCAACAUUUUAUAUUGUUUUUUAUAGAGAUAAUAAGACAAAAAUGAAUAGUAAUAUAAAAUGUUGACGUGGUUUAACCGUGACCACACAAAUAGGAGAACAUGAGAGGACACGGAAACAAGGAGGGCAGACAAUCCUUGUCCUAAAUCCACAUGCACCUCACAUUGGACGAUGAUUUUCUUCCCUCUUACAUCUCUGGAGGCAGAUUCUCUGCUACUUUUUUUCUAUACACUUCUAUUCUUUUUAUUUGUGUGGUCACGAUAUUAUUUCUAUAAAAAAAAUAAUAUAAAAUAUUGACAUGGUUUAAUUGUGACCACACAUACAGGAUGAAAAUGUAGGGGAAAAAAGUAGCAGAGAAUCUGCCUCCCUCUACACUCUUCUCCCUCUUUCUUAUUCCUUCCUCUGCAAAUCUUUCAUCUUGUAAAUUGGGGAAUUAGUUGUGGCUGAAGGAUCAUGCAGGUUUUUUCCUCUGUUUUCGAUUAAUAGUCUUUAUUUUCUCAAUUAGAUUUUAGUUGGGUGUUGUAUUCUAUUGUAUUGCUUAUCCUGAUUGAUUUGCUUUUAUGAAAAGCCAUCGUAUUUCAUUUUAACUUGGGCGAGCAGAUCUGCGCACUUCGAUCCAAUUAUGUAGAUAGAAAAGCACUUAUUUUUGUGUGGACUGAUCUGCGAAUUUUGACUUGAAUGAAUCAUUAAUUUUGCAGUAAGCAGUUAUGGAUACAAGUACAGCACUUGAAGCCUCAUCUUCAUCUUCACCGUCCUCCUCCUCCACCACCACCACCUCCUCCUCCUCACCCUAUGACGUAUUCUUGAGCUUUAGUGGCGAAGACACACGCAAAACCUUCACGGACCACCUCUACUGGACAAUGAAAGACGCCGGCAUUGACUUCUUUAUGGAGGAGAACGAAUCAAUAAGAAGAGGGGAAAAUAUAUCAGACAAAGUGAAGCAAAUAAUCGAAGGGUCUAGGGUUUCGGUCAUCGUCUUCUCAAGUAGGUAUGCGGAUUCCAUCUGGUGUCUUGAGGAGCUGGUGCAGAUCAUGGAGUGCAGAAGAACACUGAAGCAAAUGGUUCUGCCCAUAUUCUACGAUCUUAGUCCUUCAGAUGGUAUAGGUACUUUUGUACAAGCAUUUCAGAAGCAUAGAGAGCGCUUCCAUGAAGAUACAGAUAUACAAGAAAAGAUAUGGCGGUGGACGGAUGCUCUUACUGAAGCUGCAGGUUUGACAGUCUGGGUUUUCGAAACGACUAAUGGGUAAGUACGUACUUUUAUCUGUUUGUUUGUUCAUUAUUUCUUUAAAUCUUUAUCAACAUUCAUACUUAGAUGUGAGCUCUCUAUCAUUUAUUUUUUAUUUCUUUUUCAAUCCAAUUCUUCUCCCGAAUUUCUCCUUCUAAAUUUCAUCAUUUUCUCUAAAUUUAAUGUCAACUUGCUUAUGAAGUUGAAUUGCUAGAGUUCAAGUCUUCUAAAGAUAUAUAUGCCCCUUGUUCUCCAAUUGUUUCUUGACUAGAUGUGCGUGGCCUGAUUGCUACGCUCAUUCAAAUGGGGGCGGUGGUACUCAUGAUUUAAUGUUUUAGAUUUGUUUAGGGUUUUGGUUGUUUAGAGUAGUGUGGACUUGGUAAAAGAUUGGGUUCUUGUUCGUUGCUAAUAUGGUGGCAACUAAAUUGGCCAAAUUGGCCUUCUUCUUCUUUUUUUUUUUUUUUUUUUUUUCUGUGAAGCAUUUUUUUAUUUGAGAACCCUUGAAAUUUAAUUCAGGAUUACCUUUAAGGGAGAGGGGGAUUUGAAUACGAGAUCUUAGGUAUAAGGACGAAUGUUCUUAAUUGAUUGAGCUACAAGCAACUUGCCAAAAUUACCUCGUUGAAUUUUGUACAUUUUCUUAAGAUUCUAAUAAAACUGAUUAUCAUUUCACUAAACAAACGAAUAUAACAAAUGAAUGUUUAACUUUCACAACAAAAAACCCACAAAUUACAAACCUUAAACCAAACGAGUACAGAACCCAAAACAAACAAAGAAGAUUCUCCCAAAUCGUUCUCUAACUCACAAUUUGUCACACAAAUAAGUCACGAGUUUGCCAUACAGAUAUGACUCAAAUGGUAACCUCCACCCAAAAAUCUAAUUAGAGAAAAUUGUCUAAACCAAUUGUGACGGCACACAAAAUAAGCUAAAUCCAAAGGUCCUAUUUAUAGUGCAUAAGACUUAGGUUACAAUAAGAAUUCUAAUCCUACUUGGAAGUAGAUCUGAAUCCUAAUUAAAUAGGUAAUUAACAAAAUCUUUCCACCAAACAGGAAUCUAACCAAGAAGUCAAAUCCAAACCCAAAAUAUACAUCAAAUGAAAUGGGUAAUACAAACCUAAUUUCUGCAUCAUCCUAAUUUUGAGUUGUAACUCACGACAGAGACUUCAAGUGAAGGGUGAACACUUGUAACCUAUUAAACUACAAGUCACUUGCCAAAAUUACCUGUUGUUAUACAUUUUCUUAAGAUUCUAAUAAAACUGUUAUCAUUUCACAUAAAAAAAAGUUAUUAAUUGCCCACAUGAAUAUCCUAUAAAAUGAUUGUGAGUAUGGAUUGAAAUCUUUGAUAUUAAACACUAUAGUACAAAACUUAGAGGGUCAUUUGAUAACCAUUUUGUUUUUAAGUUUUAGUUACCAAAACAAAAACAAACAAAAUUAGUUUUCAUAAAAAAUGAAAACAAAAACUGGUAAGUAGUAAGUGGUGGAUUAUCAUGGUGGUUAGGACACUUCUCUCCAACCCACUACAUCCAAUGUUCAAACUCUCACCUCUGCCCUUAGUGUAAUCGCUUGCCGUAGAGGUUAAUUAUGAAACGACCCCUUGGAAAAACAUGAUCUAUGUAUCAUGUGGUAAGAAUGGCAUAUGAAGAUUUUGAUUUACCAAUUUCUUCACAAUUGUUGGACUCAUACACAAGUCAAAUCUUAUUCACUCCCAAGCUAUUUAGUAAUAAUGAAUUAAGGCAUAUUUUAAAUUUAUUAAUCUUGUAGUUGCUAAUAAAUCUUACGCACUUUUGCUUCAUUUUCAAAUUUACCUACCAGGUAUGAAGGAAUGUUUAUAAGGGAAAUCAUUGAUGAGAUCACCAGGCAACUCAAGAGCCCGACUCCAGUUGGAAUAGCAUUUUCCGAGCUUCAAAGAUUACGUUCUCCCAAGCUCGAAGAUAUCGAUUCUACCGAGCACACAGAUACAGCUUCUUCCGGGUCUAGCGCGAAAUCUUCCCUCUCCAUGUCGCCGUUGAAAAAGAGGUGUCACGAGCCCGACCACUCUGACAGUACGUCGAGCAAGUUUCCAAAGAGAAGGUACGCACAUGGCAUUCGUGUCGUGUUUCUUGUGUUCGUGUCGUACCCGAUAUUUUAAUGGAUCGUGUCGUGUAACACCCAUUAAACAAGGACGAAGUUAGAAAUUUAACUAAGAGGGGGUACCUUAAAAAAUUUGAGCUCCUUUUUUGGACAAAUAAAGCUAGUUCUUUUACAAAUGCUGAAAAAAUUAAUGCUCAUUUGUACUAAUUAACCAAAUAUAUGCAACUCAACAAGGUUUAGACAUUAGUGUGUGAGAAAAAUAUACAAGACGAAGGGGUAUUUAAAAACUAAAAGAGGAUUUUCACUAUUUUAAUAUGAUUAAUUGAAUAAUCUGCAAAAUAAAAAAAAAUGAGAACGAUUAAUUGAAUAAUAUGUAACGAAAAAAAAGGAUGAGAUGGGGCAUGUGCCCCCACUAGGCCUGACCUCCCUCCAUCCAUGCCGUUAAAAAUAAACAAGUAAAAUGACCCAACCUGAAAUCGACCCGAUAAUAUUAACAGGUAAUAUGAACCGACCCGUUACCAGUUAAGGAAAAUACAUUUUAAACCAAUAAAUAAUCAUAUGAAAAACAUAAUACUAAACAGUAUAUACAUACCAUAUUAUCACAUUCAAAACAUAAAAACGCAUUUGUCUUUCAAGUAUUACAUAUUUACAUACCCAAAAUAAGAGCAUAAUAAAAAAUAAAAAAACAUUAGAACAUUACAAAAUAUCAAAUGUUCAAAAGAUUUGCAAAAUUAAGGGAGUUUUGUUUCAAGAUUUGGAACCUUGCACAUUUUCUUACAAUCAAAUUCUUCAAUUUUCAUCAAUCACCAUGAGAAAUGGUAUUGGAACUUUGGCGUGAUAUAUUGUCUUCAAGAGUUAUAUUGAUGAUAUAUUCAGUGAGGCUUUCUACAUUAGCACUAUCUUCUCAUUUAUCCUAUGUCUAUUGUUUAUGUAAAGUCUUUAAUAGUUUUUUAAUUAAUGUAGAAGUGUGAAAAAUAUAGAAAAAAUAUAUAUAAACGUUCGUAAUGACAAACUUUACAACUUUCGUGAAGGGCUUAACUUUGAAAUGUGCCACUAUAAACAUAUAAAUCAUAGAUCAAAAUUUAACCGUCGAUUGUUGUUUACAUUUAUUCUUCAUUUUUCUCAACAAAUUUUAUUUUUUCAGAUUUUAUUUUUUGAAAACAUGAUCUAUUAGAGGAUACAUGAAGAUGAAUAGUUCAGAUCCUUGAUAUUAUGUUCAGAGUUUUACCAUUAGUGAAAAUAUUGCUUGGUGUUUAUAAAGUCUCUACAAACUAUAUAACAUCGACUCAUAUUUCAAUUAACCGUAAAUAUCGGGACGUGAUAUCAAAGAUCCGAACCGUUCAUCUUCCUACAUCCCCUAGAAGAUCAUGUUUUCAAAAAAGAAAAUUUAAAAAAUGAAAUUCAAUAUAAAGAAUAAUGCCUAAACGACAAUCGACGGUUAAAUACAAAUUUAAGGUUUAUGGAUUAUAGUGUCGGAUUUCGAAGUUGACCCCUUCACAAAAGUUGUAAAGCUUGUCACUACGAAUGAUUGUAUAUAUAUAUAUAUAUAUAUAUAUAUAUAUAUAUAUAUAUAUAUAUAUAUUUUUUUUUUUUUUUUAAUUUUUUAAUUUUUUUUUUUUACAUUUCUUACACUACUACAAUAAUUAUUAUUAAUUUUAUUACUUUUACACUCAAAUAAAAAAUACUAUUCAUGACGGUUUGGAGGGUUUUAAAAAUCUAAACGAUAAUGUUAGUGUAACAAUUGUCUACUCGUAGAGGAAUGAUGAAUCACAAGUGUUUAUAUAUUCUUUCACAUUUUUCAUACUUGUAGGGAUGUUUUAUUGCCUGUACUAAUUGUAAAAUCUCACAUCGCCCAGGGGAGUGAUCUUUAUAUGUAUAUUCUCAUCCCUACCUAGCACAAGGCAUUUUGGGAGCUCACUAGCUUCGGAUUCUAUUGGAACUUUGAAGUUAAGCGAGUAGUGCGCGAGAGCAAUCUUAUAAUGGGUGACCCAUUAGGAAGUUCUGCUCGCGUGAGUUCCCAGAAACAAAACCGUGAGGGCGUGGUCGGGGCCCAAAGCGGACAAUAUCGUGCUACGGUGGAGUCAAGCCCGGGAAGUGGUCUCGUCCAGGCCGGGAUGUGACAAUUUGGUAUCAGAGCCUAACCCUGGCAGUGGUGUGCCGACGAGGAUGUCGGGUCCCUAAGGGGGUGGAUUGUAAGAUCCCACAUCACCUCGGAGAGUGAUCCUUAUAUAUAUAUAUAUAUAUAUAUAUAUAUAUAUAUAUAUAUAUAUAUAUAUAUAUAUAUAUUCUCAUCCCUACCUAGCACGAGGCAUUUUGGGAGCUCACUGGCUUUGGGUUCCAUUGGAACUCUGAAGUUAAGCGAGUAGUGCGCGAGAGCAAUCCCAUGAUGGGUGAUCCACUGGGAAGUGCUCGUGUGAGUUCCCAGAAACAAAACCGUGAGGGCGUGAUCGGGGCCAAAAGCGGACAAUAUCGUGCGAUGACGGAGUCGAGCCCAGGAUGUGGUGGGGCCCAGGCUUGGAUGUGACACUAAUACUAUACUAAUUGAUUUUAAUUUUGGACAACAACAUGUUAAGUAAAAUCUAUCUUAUUAAUGAUAAUAAGAAACUCUCAUAAUAUAAAUAAAUAAAACUUAGUUUUUUUAACUUAUUAAGAAUGAUAAUACAAAAAUAUAUAUUUAAUAUAGAAUAUACCAAUAUAUACAAUAUGGCUAUUGUAUUUUAUAAUAAAUUUUUUAGUAAUUAAACUUUAAAAUUAUAAUUUAUUUUUCUUAACGGGUCGAAAUGGGUUACCCAUGUGUUACCCGCGUAUAUACCCGUUAAGAACCCAUUAUUAGCGGGUCACCCGAUAAUGACCCGAUUAGUUAUCGUGUUAAUCUAAAACCCGUUAUUUUCGUGUCGUAUCACCAUAUCGUGUAAGAAAUUGUCGGGUCUAGUGUACUGCUAUCCAUUCACUUGCUUCUUUCUUUUUAAUCUUUUGCAUAAUGUAUCCAUAAAACUUUGAGGUAGUCUGGAAAACCUUUAUCCUACCAUUUCCUAGUUUUCUUCACUCUAGAAACUCAGAUGAAAAUUAAAGCAACAUGACAUCAGUCAAAUAUAAAAAGUAAAGAAACUCGCACCAGCUGUCAAUUGUUUAUACCAUAGUGCUUAUUCCAAUUCUUUGAGAGGUUCUUUUCUUUAGUUUUUCUGGCUUUAAUUCUCCCAUGGCUAAUCAACUUGUCCCUUCUUCUUCCUUCAGCACUACUCCUUCAUGGACAUACGAUGUCUUUUUGAGUUUUAGAGGUGAGGAUACACGGUACAAUUUUACAGAUCAUCUAUACCGUGCCUUGGACCGUCAUGGAAUCAACACCUUCAUUGAUCUUGAACUUCGACGCGGAGAAGAAAUAUCACCGUCUCUUCUCGAAGCAAUUGAAAAGUCGAGAAUUUCUGUCAUCAUAUUCUCUGAAAACUAUGCUUCUUCAAGAUGGUGCUUGGACGAGCUCGUACAUAUUCUAGAAUGUAGAAAGUCAAAGGGACAAAUGACAAGGCCAAUCUUCUACAAGGUGGAUCCAUCGGAUGUACGACACCAAAGAAAUAGUUACGGUACUGCGUUUGCUGACCAUAAUCACAAAUUUGAGAAUGACCUGGAGAAGGUGCAAAGAUGGAGGACAGCUCUUACAGAAGCAGCAAAUCUGAAGGGAGAUACUCUCAACGAGGGAAAGUACGUUUAUUUCUGACCUUCCUGUAUAUGGUUUUUGAGUUGCUUUACUCUAUAUAAGGAUUUAGUUUGGUUGAAAUUUGAUAAAAAUUCUUAAAGAAACCGAACCAAACCAAACCAUAAUCAACAAUUUGGUUAGGUUUGAUUUGAGCGGUUUUAGGCCUAAAUCUAAUAUUUUUUUUCUUUUGCAAUUUUUUUUUUACUUUGUUAGCACUUAGUGUAGCCCAACAACAACAAAAAAUUCCAAAAUCAUAUUAAUCAUUUUUUAGUACAUCAAACAAUGCAUCCCAAAAAAAAAAAAAACCAAAUAUGUGAGUAGUUGGUUUGAUUUGUGGUUUAGAAACAAAUAUCUUUGUUCACCAAAAAAAAAAAAAAAACAAUACAUCCUAAAAUUCAUCAUGUCAUUAAACUUUAAUAUAACUCUACGAUAUCAAUAUCUUUAUAUUCAACAUCCGUAUCUAGUUAUUAGCCAAUAAGAGUACUAAAUGGGUAAAAUGAAAUUAAUGUAAAAACAAAUAUGUGAGUAGUCUGUUUGAUUUGGUUUAGAACGGUUUACAAAAACUUAAAAUUGUAACCGCAAUCAAUUCAUUACUAGGAGUGAAUUUUUUUUUCCCAUAUUAAUAUACCAGCCAAAUUAUCAACUGUACUACACCGAUUUUGUGCCAAUUUUGUUACCAAUUAAUAAUAGUAUGCUAAUUGUACCAUACCAACAUAAUUUUUCAAGUACACUUAAAAAUUGUGUAAUAUUUCUCUCUAUUUGUUUUUACAUCUCUAAAACAUACCCAAAAAAAAAAGUUCACUGAUUAAAUGUGUUUUUUGUUUUGAACUCCUAGCAAUGAAGCUCAAAUAAUCAGCGACAUUGUUAAGGAUAUCCUUGCCCUGGUAAAUGACAAUUGUUUGUCAUCCAACUCAUCUCCAUCCAAUGACAAUAGUGAUGAUCAAAAUGCAGAUGACAACGUUGGUUCUGUUGGCAUUGUAAGAGUGAACCAGGAGCCAAUCCAUAGUAUUUUUUCGCCGGAUGGGAAAUUCAGGCGGAGUGUUACGUGGCGAAAACUUCGUGACCCUUUGGGAAGCGGUUCUUAUGGGACUGUGUAUGAAGGCUUAACUGAGUAAGUGGUCAUCUUCCACAUCCAUACAUCCAAAAUGUGUAUGAAGGCUUAACUGAGUAACUUUUAUUAAUUUUUGUUCCUGUCUUCUUGUUGUUGGUGAUUAGCACUGUGUGAAUUAAACCCAAUCUGAACAGGACUUGUGAAUUUUAUAUUGUUGGGUAUUAAGACCCAAAUUAGGAUGAUGCAAAAAAUGAGGUUUGUGUAACCUAUUUGGUUUUUGUGUCCUAUUUGGAUUUGGAUUUUGACUUCUUAGUUGGUUUCCUUGGUGGAGAGAUUUUGUUAAUUACCUAUUUGAUUAAGAUUUGUAUUUACUUCCUAUUAGGAUUCUUAUAGUAACAUAAGUUCUAUGCACUAUAAAUAGGACCUUAGGGUUAGUGUAUUUUGUGUGGCUCAUUCGUGUGGUAAUUUGGUGAAAGUCAAUUUGUGAGUUUGUGAGUUAGAGAGCAAUUUGGGAGAAUCUUUCUGUUUGUUUUAGUUCUCUACUCGUUUGGUUUAGGGUUUGUAAUUUGUGGGAUUUGGGUUGUGAGAGUUUAAACACUCUUUCGUAAUCUCCAUCUAUUUAGUGAAAUUCCUCACUGUGCUUCGCUUGUGGAAGUAGGCUUUACGCCGAACCACGUAAAUCCCUUGUGUCAGUUUGAGAUUGUUUGUUUUAGUUUUCACCUACGACGUUGAUAUUGGUACUUUAUUAGAAUUCGCUUCCGUUUGCGCAUAAAAAGUACAACAAGUGGUAUCAAAGCCCAGGUUUCGGCUUGGGCUUUGCUUGGUAGUCACUAUGAAGCUUUUUGCGUUGUCAGUGAAAGUUGAUAUUGAAAAGUUCGACGACAAUGAUUUUGGUGUUUGGCAAUUGAAGAUGCGUGCUUGGUCAAUUCUAUAAGGGCUUUUAAAAACGCUAAAGGGUGUGAAGGCUUUGCCGAAUUCGUGGACUGAUGAAGAAAAAGAAGACGUUAUGGAGCGGGCACUUAGAGAAAUCCUUCUGACUUUAUCGAAUGAAGUCUUGCAUGAAGUUGGUAACAUCAAAUCUGCAUCGGAGUUGUGGCUAAAAUUGGAGAGCUUGUAUACGACCAAAUCCCUUGUUAAACGGUUAUAUUUGAAGAAAAGUUUGCAUACUCUUAGUGAUGAGGAUUAUGCGAUAACUUUGUUGUGUUCUUUAUCUCCUUCGUAUGAACACUUUGUCGAUACCAUGCUAUUUGGCAGAGAAAGUCUUAGUUUGGAAGAUGUUAAAGUCGCUUUGAAUUCUAAAGAGCUAAAGAAUAAAGUGUCUGACACACAAGAUGGAGCUUUGAUAGUUCAAGGAAGGAAUAAGGAAAGGGGCAAACUUGGAAAGAACACUCGUAGUUAUUGUUAUAAGGAAGGUCAUUGGAAAGUAGAUUGCACUAAACUCAAGGGCAAAAAAGAAACCAUUUGAUAAGUCUUUUGCUAGUGUUGAGUAAAACAUUGCAGAAGAUCGUUGUUCUGAACUCCUCUAAAGGUUAUGUGAGAAGGUGGAGCUUGGUACUCAAGCUCUUUGGGUGGAGUGCAUUUUGCACUUUUUGUUUGUAUGUUCAAACUUUUGCUUGGUUUUUGUUUCAAAUUUGUUAGUUUCCGUAAUGGAAUUUGUUGGAGAAGGCGUUAGAGGAAAUUUCAGGUUUGAAGACUUUUGAAUUUUUUGAGUCUAGGUGGAGAUCAGUUUCGAAAGAAUUUGGUGCACGUUUGUAUUUGUAUUUUGGUAUCCCAAAUUUGAAGUUUGCAUUUGAUUUGGAAGUUUGCUAAUUUCUCACCGAGGUGGAGAUUGCUGGGUUUUACGACUCAAAAUUAGGAUGAUGCAAAAAAUUAGGUUUGUGUUACCUAUUUGGUUUUGGUGUCCUAUUUGGGUUUGGAUUUUGACUUCUUGGUUGGUUUCCUUGGUGGAGAGAUUUUGUUAACUACCUAUUUGAUUAGGGUUUGAAUUUACUUCCUAUUAGGAUUCUUAUUGUAACCUAAGUCCAAUGCACUAUAAAUAGGACAUUAGGGUUGGUGUAUUUUGUGUGGCUCAUUCGUGUGACAAUUUGGUGAGAGUCAAUUUGUGAGUUUGUGAGUUAGAGAGCAAUUUGGGAGAAUCUUCUCCGUUUGUUUGAGUUAUGUACUCGUUUGGUUUAGGGUUUGUAAUUUGUGGGACUUGGGUUGUGAGAGUUUAAACACUCUUUUGUAAUCUCCGUUUGUUUAGUGAAAUUCCUCGCUGUGCUUCGCUCGUGAAUGUAGGUUUUACCCCGAACCACGUAAAUCUCUUGUGUUAGUUUGAGAUUGUUUGUUUUAGCUUUCACCUACGACAUUGAUAUAGGUACUUUGUUAGAAUUCGUUUCCGUUUUCGCAUAAAAGUACCACAUAUAUUGGUCCAAUGCCUCUUACUUUAAAGGCUGAUUUCCAAACUCUAAUAAGUUACUUUGAAUUUGAAACAAAAAUGAAAAAGAAAUAACUGUACUUUGGUAGGAGACCGGGAAUUCGUUGAAGUGCUUAGUGCUAACGAAUAGAGGGACCAAGACUACCACCACUUUCAUAACUAGAGGGACCGCCAUUCAUGGUUAUAUGAUUCUCAUUUCUAAUUUCCUAGUUUAGUGUACUGCUAUCCAUUUACUCACUUCUUUCUUUUUAAUCUUUUGCAUAAUGUAUCCAUAAAACUUUGAGGUAGUCUGGAAAACCUUUAUCCCUACCAUUUCCUAGUUUUAUUUUUCAUAGUGUAAGCAUUCCAUUCUACUUUAGGUGUUUCCACUCAAAGUGUUUGGAAUUUUCUUAGCAAGAAAUUGUAAGGUUAGAAAAAGGAUGGAGAACGUGAAGUUGGUAUUGCAUUAAACUGGGCCUAUUCUGUUCAACAAAAUUAACAUGUUGGUCUCACUCUCUCUGUUUAUCUCAUGCUGCAAAUGAUCUUUUGCAGUGAUGGAAUUUUUUUUGCUGUAAAGGAGGUUUCUUUACUGGACCAAGGGAGCCAGGGAAAGCAGAGCGUUAUCCAACUUGAGCAGGUCGAAAAAAACAGUGUUCUUCUGAUUGUGUUUUCUUACUCAGUAGAUGCUAUUCUGUUUCCUGGAUUCCUUAGCAUUCUUUCUCCUAAUACGAUUAUUGUUGUACAGGAGAUUUCCCUUUUAAGUCAGUUUGAACAUGACAACAUAGUUCGAUAUCUGGGCACACACAAGGUGUGCUUCUUUCUUUCUUUCUUUCUUUCUUGGUUUGCAUUUCUAUUUGGUUCCUGCCAGUUUAGAAAUACAACUUUCUACUUAUUGAGGGAGAUUUAUCUUUUCCUUUUGCAUUUGUUCUUGUUUUUUUGUAGUUUGUGCAUAGGUAUUUGUCCUUGUAUGUGUGUACAACUGUACAUGUAUUUGUAGAACCAUAAGACAAUAAAUUAAAGAGAUGACCAAUGCAACUACUCAAGCUGCAAUCAUAAGAUAAAGUAGCUUGCUAUAUUUCACUAUAAUUUAAUAUAUUUAUUCAACUCUCCUGAUUUGUACACUUAGUUGCUCAUUGUAAUAUUAUUACAGGAUGAAACUAAGCUCUAUAUCUUCCUUGAGCUUGUAACAAAAGGCUCACUUGUAAAGCUAUAUCAAAACUAUAACUUAGAGGAUUCUCAAGUCUCUGGGUAUACAAGGCAGAUUCUAAGCGGGUUGACAUAUCUUCAUAAACGUCGUGUGCUUCACAGGUAAUGUACUUUUGGUACUGGAAUUUUUGUAUUGUGAUUUUUCUGUCUUUUGUGGUUACACUGGAAGGGAUUGAACCAUUGACCUAUGGUCCUAUACUAAUCUUAGUAGACAAAACUGUGAACAUAAGGGAGGGUUUGAAAAAUGGGUGAGGGUCUUCCAAAUUCCAAGGCAUUUGGGCAAAAUAAAGAGGAAAUGGAUCACAAAAUGUUUGGUAGGAGGAAUUAGAAAUGCAUUACAAAAGACAAAAUAGGGGAAUUUGCAAAUGACUAUUUGGAAGGAGUCAUUUACAAAUCCCUAUCACAUACCUUGGUAAUGCUCAUGAGGUGCAUUUUCCAAUUCCUCCUAUCUGAAUUAAAAUCUCUCUCGUCUUAUAAUGUGAAAUAUUUUAUAUAUGUAUCAUACACACGAAAAUUUACAAGGAAUAGAGGGACUGGAACAACAUACUUGUCUGUAAUUAAAGUACAACGUAUAGGCCCCAACAGAGAUAAGAUACAACUACGUAAACAAUAACGAACCAAACAAUCCUUGUUUAACCUACAUUUUUAUAAUUCCCUUUGACAUAUUUUUCUGCUUUCUAGACUUACGUGUUCCUUAUAUUGAUAUUGAACUUGUAGAAGUUUAAAAUUUGUUUUUAUUAUCUAUAUUUAUGAGAUUAUUUUUUCCAGGGAUAUCAAAUGUGCUAAUAUAUUGGUACAUGCAAGUGGAUCUGUGAAACUUGCAGACUUUGGGUUAGCCAAGGUACAAUUCCUAAAUGUAUAUUCAUAGAAUUUCCAAUGCUGAAUCAUUCCUUAUUGGCAUUCUGUUUUUCUAGGUGACCAAAUUGAAUGAAUUGAAGUCUUCCAAAGGGACUGCUUAUUGGAUGGCCCCUGAGGUUUGCCUCCUCUCUUUACAGUAAAUGUGUGUUUGUACACAUCGGAUUGAUAUCUCAACAGCUGCCUUUACAUAGUAAAACUAGUAUGAUGUGGAGUAAUUCAUCUAGUUCUGAUUAUCCACGUAGUUACUCUUUGAUGUACACAACUUAAUUUUCAUCAUUUACCUUGUAAUAGUAUAAUUGGGAAUAAGUUGCUCCGAGCAUGCUUAUCUGUUUCAUGGAUUUUAAGUUAAUCUGUUGACCAGUACGCUGUAAAAUUGUAGGUUGUUAAUCAAAUGAAUGGUGGCUAUGGGUUUGCAGCUGACAUAUGGAGCCUUGGAUGCACUGUAUUAGAGAUGUUAACCCGCCAGCCUCCGUACUUUCCCCUGGAAUGGGUAUGUUCAACAUUUCUGCACAUAAAAUGCUAAUCUUUUACUUUUUCUUUAGGAUAAAAAAUGCAUAAAAAUAUGCCCAUAUCACAUUUUGACCUAGAUCAUUGGACGUAGGAGCCAACCUCAUGCCACACAUCCCCCACCGUGUGAUUUUACCCGGAUCAUCUUACCUAUACUCAGCCUUUGUGCUACCUAUUCACAAUAUGUUAUUUACUCUUCCAUGUAAGUAACUAGAAUCCUUAAUCAAGGGUCAUGGACCUAUGUUUACCCCUUAACCUGUAUCCGGCUAUUUCUUCUCAGACAUCAGUGACCACUAGCACUAGGGUAACCUUGGUUUUCUUAAUCAAUUUGGACCGUCACUCAUGCGAGAAGGCUAAGACAUUUUAUAGACGAGGCAGAUCACUAAGUUGUCGUCUGUAGAGUCAUUUAGGAAUCUGACAAAAAUCAUAUUCUUGUUUGUGAUGAUUGGCAGACACAAGCAUUAUUUCAGAUUGGCAGCGGUAAACUUCCUCCAGUUCCUAAUGUUAGUGUUACUCUAAUUUAGCUGGAUUUGUUUUUAGAAUACUGAACAGAAGCAAAAGCAAAGAUGGAAGAUGAACCGAAAAAUAGUUUUUUUCUUUCUUGUUCUCUACUGCAAAAAUAUUGCAGAGGAAUAUUUUGUACUACUCAGAAAAAUGAGCACUCACACUGCUUUACAUUUAACUGAUGGCCUUAGCUUUAGGACCACACUAAACACUACUUUUAAUCUUAGUCACUCAUCAACCUAAUUACAUGGAUCAAACACCACAUGGCACUCAUGGCCUUACAUCAUUUAACCUUACACUUGGCAUAUAUGCUCAAAUGAAUACACACAUUAAAACUCAUCUUAUUUCUAAUACUUAAUCAGCUAGAGACUUAUAAUUCAACACUCCCCUUUAAGUCUUGAGCUGAUUUCACUCCUAGCAUGUUCCUGAGAUAAUUAAACCGAUCUUUAGGCAGAGGUUUUGUGAAGAUAUCAGCAAGUUGUUCAUUAGUUGGACAGUACACCAGAUCAAUGAUACCAUCCUUCAGUGCAUCCUUGAUGAAAUGGUAUCUUCUGUUAAUGUAUUUGGUCUUUUGAUGAAACACAGAGUUCUUGGUGAUUGCAAUUGCUGAGGUGUUGUCACAGUGCACUGGAGUGGCUUCGGUUUGAAAUUCACCAAAGUCUUCAAGCACAAAUCUCAACCAAAUGGCUUGAGUAGUUGCUUCUGAAGCACUGAUGUACUCUGCUUCUGCAGUGGAAAGAGCAACGCAAUUUUGCUUCACAGAUGCCCAAGAGAAUACUCCACUGCCAAAGGAGAAAGCAUAACCAGAAGUACUUUUACUGUCCUCAAUUGAUCCACUCCAGUCACUGUCACAGAACCCAAUUAACAUUGAGUUCUUACCCUUCACAUAUUCCAGACCAUAAUCAAGUGUACCCUUAAUGUAUCUUAGCACUCUUUUAGCAGUUCCAACAUGCUUACUGGUAGGGCAGUGCAUAAAUCUGGCUAACAGACUGGAUGCAUACAUAAUAUCAGGCCUGGUUGCAGUGAGAUAUAAGAGACUUCCCACAAAACUUCUGUAUAACUCUUCACUUGCAGCACCACUUCCAUCAUUCGUGGUUAACUUCUCAGUUGCAACUAAUGGAGUAAGCACAGGUUUGCACUCUUUUAGACCAAAUUUGUCUAACAAAGAGCUUGCAUAUUUCUUUUGGUGGAUGAAAAUGCUUGAAGUGGUCUGAAUUAUUCCCAUUCCAAGAAAAUGAUGUAGAAGGCCCAAAUCAGUCAUCUCAUACUUUCGUUUCAUGUCUUCCUUGAAUUCUUCAAGCAUUUGUUUGUUGCUCCCAGUAUAGAUUAUGUCAUCCACAUAGAUCGACACAAUCAAAAUGCCUUCCUCUUCUGUCUUGAUGUACAGUGUUGGUUCACUUAAGCUUCUUGUGAAACCCACAUUGUGAGAAAUAGGUAUCUAUUUCUCCAUACCAGGCCCGUGGUGCCUGUUUUAGACCAUACAAGGCUUUGUGAAGUUUGUAUACCCUGUCUUCCUCCCCUUUAGCUACAAAACCAUCAGGCUGCUCCACAUAAACCUCCUCCUCUAGAACACCAUUCAGAAAAGCCGAUUUGACAUCAAGUUGAUAGAGUUUCCAACACUUUUGUGCAGCCAAUGCUAUAAGAGUUCUGAUUGUAUCUAAACGGGCAACAGGAGCAAAGGUCUCGUUGUAAUCUAUUCCUGGUUUCUGGGCAUAUCCCUUUGCAACAAGCCUUGCCUUGUUCUUUUUGCACAGUUCCAUCCAAGUUGAGCUUGGUUUUAAACACCCAUUUUACUCCAAUUAUAGGCUUGUUACUUGGCCUGUCCACUAACUCCCAGGUUGCAUUUUUUUCAAUCAUUGAAAGCUCAUCCUUCAUAGCAUUCAUCCAAGAUUCAUCCUUACUUGCAUCUUCAUAUCUCUCUGGUUCCAUAAUGCACAGAUUACAUUUAGCAAGUACAUCAUCCAGCCUUCUCCAUUUUAAUGGAGUAUGAUCAAUCACUUGUGAAUCUCUUGUACUUUCACAAGAUCUACUAGAGGAUUCAGUAGAUUGGACUUGAGGAGUAACCGGUGCAUUAUCAGUAUCACUUGUUAUUUCUGUCAAACUUCUAGAUGGCAAAGUAUUAGAGGUUGGGGUCUCAACCUCUGUGAAUGCACUGCUUGGUGACUCACCAGACUGCCCUUCAUAAUUGAACAUAGACACAUGUUUCUCUGUGCUUUCCUGCCAAUUCCAACUUGAAUCUUCAUCAAACACAACGUCUCUUGACAGUAUUACCCUUUUAGAAAAUGGAUCAAAGACCCUAUAACCUUUCUCACACCUUGCAUAGCCAAUAAAAACUCCCUUUAGACUCUUAGCUUCUAAUUUGUGCCUUAAUUCAGCUGGGAUAUGAACAUAACAAACUGAGCCAAAAAUCUUCAAAUGUGCAAUACCCGGUUUCCUUCCACUGUAAGCUUCAAAGGGGGUUAUGUUAUCAAGAGACCUGGUAGGACAUCGAUUCAGAAUGUACACAGCAGUAUGCACAGCUUCUGCCCACAUAUAAUAGGGCAUUCCUUUAUCGUGUAGCAUAGACUUAGCCAUUUCAACCACGGUUCUGUUUUUCCUUUCCACCACUCCAUUUUGCUGUGGAGUGUAUGCAAGAGAAAGUUGCCUUUGAAUGCCUUCUGUAUCACAGAACUGAUUGAACUCAGUAGACAAGAACUCCCCUCCUCUGUCACUCCUCAGACAUUUCACCCUUAAACCAGUUUGUAACUCAGUCAUUGCUUUGAAUUUCUUGAAGCAGGAGAAGGCCUCAGAUUUAUAUUUAAGAAAGUAUACCCAGAUCAUUCGUGUUGCAUCAUCCACAAGCAGCAUAAAGUAUUUGUUUCCUCCAGUGGAUUCAUUCCUCAUUGGUCCACAUAGAUCAACAUGGAUCAAUUCGAGUGAAGCACCAGCUCUUUGUGUUUGACCACUAGGGAAACUUUCUCUGUGCUGUUUACCAUAUUGACAACCUUCACAGACUCUAUCAUUCUCUUCUAGAUCUGGUAAUCCAUGAACCAUAUCUUUCUCCUUCAAUUUUUUGAUUCCACCAAAGUUUAGGUGGCCAAGUCUUCUGUGCCAAGUCCGGGCACAGUUAGCAAAACUGAGCUUCAACACAAGUUGCUUUUCAGAACUUAGAGAUAGAGGAUAGCAUCUGUUUCCUCUCAUCUUUACACUGAUAAUUUGACAUUCCAGAGAAGGGCCAUCAAAGACAGUACACAUACCUCCACCAAACACAAGAUAGUAUCCGUGCUCAUCCAUUUGUCCUACACUAAGUAGAUUCUCUUUCAAGCCAGGUAGGUACAUGACUUCUCGAAUGUAUUUUCUUCCUCUGUUAGUCUCAAUUUCCAGUGAUCCAAUUCCUGCCACAUUAACUAAUCCUCCUGUUGGCAUUUGAACCUUCCCUGCAACAUUCGUAUUCACAUCAACAAGAAGAUCAACAUUUCCUGUCAUAUGAUGAUUACUGCAGCCGCUAUCUAUGUACCAAUCUCCAUUAACCUUAGUCUCAGCAACUGCACAAUUUGCAUAAAACAAGUUCCCUGUUACUUCCAUUUGACUGGCACAGUUUGCCUUUUGAACAGACUUUCCAACAGUACAUUCUUUUGCCCAGUGCCCAAAUCUGUCACAGUUAUAGCACUUAGAUUUCCCCUUAUACCUACAUUCACCAUAAUGAAACUUUGAACACACCUUACAUUGAGGUUUUACACUCUCUUGACCCAUACCCUGUGAGGAAGUACUAUUCUGUGCAACACUUGUGUAUGAUUUUUGCUGAAACUUUGGUUUUGACUCCCAUUUCUUGCCCUUUUGAUUCCAAUUUCUCUGUGGUUUAAAGGUACUAGACUGAGCAUAACUUCGAUUCUGCCCUUUUGAACUAACAGUAAGAGAAGAAAAUGCUCUCUCAGUUGCAUAUGAGGAAUGCAAAUCAAACCUCUGCUCUUGACUCUUCAAUAUAGCUAAUACCUCUUGCAGUUCAACAGAUUCUAAACAUUUAGUGUUUUCUAUCACUAAGCAUAUAGGAUCAUAUAUCUUAGUGAGACUGAUUAACACCUUCUGAACUAAUCUCUCAUUUGACAUAGUUUCACCAAACGUCUUCAUUUGAUUAAUCAGAUCAUUUAAACGAGUAAGAUACCCAGUCAAAGAUUCAUCAUCACGCAUUCUAGUGUAUUCAAAUUCUCGUCUAAGAUUCUGGAGUUUCACAGAUCUUACCUGAUCCCCACCGUGAUAUUCGCCAUAUAACAGAUCCCAUGCCAUUUUUGCUGAGUCUGCGUUUGCGAUUCGAGGGAAAAUCUGAUCGGAGACUGCGCUUUGAAUGAUUCCGAGAGCUUUUGCAUCUUUCAUGAAGAUUGCAGCCAUUUUCUCAUCAUCGUCAACAUCAACCUCUGUAUGUUCAUCAGUCUUAGCUUCCUUCUUCUUCGAAUCAGGAACCGGAAUCCCUUUUUCCACCAGAUUCCACAGUCCAUACGACUUGAAAAUGGUAACCAUUUUGAUUCUCCAGAACUCGUAGUUCUCACCGGAGAAGAUCGGGGUCCUCACUUCAGCACUCCCAGGUCCAGCCAUCGUGAGCUUGUGUGAACCCAGAAACACGUAGUUCUUAGAUCACAGAUAAGCUCCGGCAAACUUCACCAAGUCCAGAGACGGUGACGUUUGAGCUCACAGAAACACGCCCAGAUCUAAUCGAAACAAGGCUCUGAGGCCAUGUUAGUGUUACUCUAAUUUAGCUGGAUUUGUUUUUAGAAUACUGAACAGAAGCAAAAGCAAAGAUGGAAGAUGAACCGAAAAAUAGUUUUUUUCUUUCUUGUUCUCUACUGCAAAAAUAUUGCAGAGGAAUAUUUUGUACUACUCAGAAAAAUGAGCACUCACACUGCUUUACAUUUAACUGAUGGCCUUAGCUUUAGGACCACACUAAACACUACUUUUAAUCUUAGUCACUCAUCAACCUAAUUACAUGGAUCAAACACCACAUGGCACUCAUGGCCUUACAUCAUUUAACCUUACACUUGGCAUAUAUGCUCAAAUGAAUACACACAUUAAAACUCAUCUUAUUUCUAAUACUUAAUCAGCUAGAGACUUAUAAUUCAACACCUAAUUGGUUAUCAAGUGAUGCAAAAGAUUUCAUUUUGAAAUGUUUACAAGUUGACCCUUGUAGCCGACCCACUGCGGCUCAGCUAUUGAACCAUCCAUUUGUUAAAAGGCCACUCAGCUAGUGAUAUUGUUAGGUGAUAUAAAGGAACUGGUUAGUGUUUGGAUCUAUAUACGCUCUCAAGCCAUGGUAGAACAUUAGCUUCCACGAACGUGGUUUGGGGAAGGGGAUAUGCUUCCAAUAUUUUCACAAAGAUGCGAAUGGUUUGCUAAUCAAACGAAGCACCUCUUGGUCAGUGUGUGUGGAUCUGCACUAUUAGGGACGUGACGGACCGGAGAAACUUAAAAGCACGUUUUGUAGCUUAUGGACUUCGCUGUUAAUACGUUUUGUAAUAACUUCCUGAUGGAUACAACUCAAUCGAAUAUGAGACUCGGUGGAUUUGCGUGAGGCUGUUUAAUAACUAUUUAGUUUUAGUUUUGUUGUUAAAAAUAGAAUAAAAGCCCAAAGUUCAUCUUAUUGAUGAUUUUCUAAGGGGUAUAUCAUCUGAUUAGUAUAACUCAUGAGAAUAGUAACAAACAAAGAUAUCCGAUCCGAUGAAAUAUAUAGUUUACAUAAAAUGGCAUAAACUUUGUACUUACUAUAAAUACGGCUCUCAUACAAUACUCGUUUGGAAACACGUCACUCUAAGAAACUUAGAAUACCAUCUGAUUAGUAGAACUAAUCAAAAUAGUAACAAAGCUCAAAUGAUAAAUUAAGAUGGCAGUUAAUUACCCAUCAGAUGAAAUCACGGUACUUUCAGCAUGAGAGUAUAAAACCAGUAAGCAGCUGUUUCUGAGACGUUUAGACUGCACACAUUCUUUGUACUUCGAGACACAAUCCGUUAGCGAACUUCUGAGUUUCUUCUGUUUGUUUGAUUGCAUCCUGCAAUUUCAGUUUGGAGGUCUGCAAGAAAAAUAAGAUUGGUUAUGAUAUCAAACUUAACAAAAUCCUAGUUAAGGAUUUUCAUAUGGCAUAACAAUUUAAUGACUAUAACUCCGCCUGUGUAAGUUUAUCUUACAUUGCCGGUCCCAAGCCCGGGUAAAGGAGGAGGGGGAGGGUCUCAGGUAGUCGACAGCCGGCACUCCACAGUUACGUCGAAUCCUUAUGAAAAUGAAUCCAGAACGAAAUCGCGCUAAGGCUAGGGCGUCACCCGUAAGUGGCGCGCUGUGUGGCCCGAGCACAGUGAUAAGUGAGCAAGGGUCGCUGUAUCUCCAUCGGCACCCGGAUGCAGUGUUAAAUGAGCAAGAGGGCCAUAGAAACUUCUUUUCGAACGACUCCACUCAAAGUUGUUUGGGAGCAUAUGCUCCUAUCAACUUUACACAUGACACACAAAAGAAGUACUUUGAUUCUAUUGGACGGGGGAGGGUGAAGAAGCUAGGACAGAAGGGUAGAGUUCAAGAGAGUAGAAUGCGUUUAGGAACGUGGAAUAUAGGAACCUUAACAGGAAAAUCUAUGGAAGUAGUGGAAGUUAUGGUGAGGAGAAGGAUAAAUAUUAUGUGCCUACAAGAAACUAAGUGGGUUGGUCUUAAGGCAAAGGAUUUAGAAAACUUAGGGUUUAAACUUUGGUAUUCGGGCACAAAUAGAACGAGAAACGGUGUUGGCAUCAUCGUGGACAAGACCUUGACACAAGAUGUUGUAGAUGUCAAGAGGGUAGGAGAUAGAAUCAUGGCAAUCAAGAUUGUAAUAGGACAAAAACUCAUCAAUGUGAUUAGUGCGUACGCACCUCAAGUAGGGUUGGAUACAAGUUCGAAGGAGAAAUUUUGGGAAGACCUUGGAGACUUGGUGCAAGGAAUUGCCCAGACGGAGAAGUUAUUUAUAGGAGGAGAUUUAAAUGGACACGUGGGCAAGGAGACAGGCAACUAUGAAGGUUUUCAUGGUGGCCAUGGUUUUGGGGAGAGAAACGAGGAUGGGGAAGCUAUCUUGGAUUUUGCAAUGGCAUAUGAUCUCUUCUUAGCCAACACCUUCUUUAAGAAGAGAGAAGAACAUGUGAUCACCUACAAGAGUGGGUCAUCAAAAACACAAAUAGAUUUUCUUCUAAUGAGGAAAGGGGAUCGUAUAACUUGUAAGGAUUGCAAAGUUAUACUGGGAGAAAGCUUGGCUAAUCAACAUCGCUUGUUGGUGAUGGAUGUACAUAUAAAAAGAGUGAGAAAAAAGAACAAGACUUGGAAGUGCCCAAGGACUAGAUGGUGGAAUCUAAAAGGAGAAAAACAAGUCAUUUUCAAAGAGAAAGUAAUCACCCAGUGUGGGUGGGAUAAAGAGGGGGAAGCUGGCCAAAGGUGGGAUUCUAUGGCUAGUUGUAUCCGAAAAGUAGCAAAAGAGGUAUUAGGAGAGUCCAAGGGCUUUGCUCCACACCAAAAGGAAUCUUGGUGGGGGAAUGAGGAGGUACAAACAAAGGUGAAGGCUAAGAAGGAAUGUUGUAAAGCCUUAUACAAGGACAUGACCGAUGAAAAUGGUGAAAGGUAUAGAAGAGCGAAGCAAGAGGCGAAGAAACCUGUGAGAGAAGCUAAGUUAGCGGCUUAUGACGAUAUGUAUAAGCGACUAGAUACCAAAGAAGGAAAGUUGGAUAUCUAUAAACUAGCUAGAGCAAGGGAAAAGAAGACAAGAGACCUAAACCAAGUGAGGUGCAUCAAGGAUGAGGAUGGAAAAGUUCUUGCUACAGAGAACGCGAUCAAAGAUAGAUGGAGAGGUUAUUUUCAUAAUCUUUUCAAUGAAGGACAUGAAAUGAGUACUUCUUUAGGGGAGUUGAGUAACUCAGAAGAGUGUAGAAACUACUCCUUUUAUCGUCGAAUCAGGAAGGAAGAAGUGGUUGUAGCUUUGAAGAAGAUGAAGCAUAGAAAAACAGUGGGCCUAGACGAUAUACUGAUCGAAGUGUGGAAAGUCUUGGGAGAGACAGGUAUAGCAUGGCUCACUGACCUUUUCAAUAGGAUUUUGAAAACGAAGAAGAUGCCAAAUGAGUGGCGAAAGAGCACUUUGGUGCCUAUCUACAAGAAUAAGGGCGACGUACAAAAUUGCAUGAACUAUAGGGGUGUUAAGCUAAUGUGUCAUACAAUGAAGCUCUGGAAGAGAGUCAUUGAGCAUAAAUUGAGGCAAGAGACACGGGUUUCGGACAACCAAUUCGGGUUCAUGCCAGGGCGCUCAACCAUGGAGGCAAUCUAUCUCUUACGAAGAUUGAUGGAAAGAUAUAGAGAUGGGAAAAAGGAUUUACACAUGGUCUUUCUAGAUUUGGAAAAAGCGUAUGAUAGGGUCCCAAGAGACAUUCUUUGGAGGAUUUUAGAGAAGAAAGGAGUACGAGUAGCAUAUAUCCAAGUUAUAAAGGAUAUGUAUGAAGGAGCAAAGACUGCCGUAAGAACUUAUGAAGGACAAACCGAAAGCUUCCCCAUAACUGUAGGAUUACAUCAAGGCUCAUCCUUAAGUCCUUACCUUUUUGCGUUGGUAAUGGAUGAGUUAACAGGACAUAUUCAAGAUGAUAUUCCUUGGUGUAUGCUUUUUGCAGACGAUAUAGUGUUGAUAGAUGAAACUCAGGAAGGGGUAAAUGCGAAGCUUAACCUUUGGAGAGAAGUGUUGGAAUCUAAAGGUCUUCGCCUAAGCCGAUCAAAGACAGAAUAUAUGGAGUGCAAGUUCAGUGCAAAUGGAGGCCAAAAUGAGUUAGGGGCAAGGAUCGGAGAUCAGGUAAUACCAAAGAGCGACCGUUUUCGCUACCUAGGAUUUAUCUUGCAAAAGAACGAAGAAUUAGAUGGAGAUCUCAACCAAAAAAUACAAGCUGGAUGGAUGAAGUGGAAGAGUGCAUCCGGCGUGUUGUGUGACCGUCGUAGGCCACUGAAGCUCAAGGGAAAAUUUUAUACGACGGCAAUAAGGCCGGCGAUGCUGUAUGGCACAGAAUGUUGGGCGGUGAAGUAUCAACACGUACACAAAAUGGGUGUAGCGGAGAUGAGUGGGCACACGAGAAAGGAUAAGAUUAGGAAUGAGGAUAUCUGAGGUAAAGUAGGAGUAGCCGAAAUUGUAGGAAAGUUGAGAGAAAAUCGGUUACGGUGGUUUGGACAUGUGCAAAGAAGGCCUACUGAUGCUCCGGUUAGAAGAUGCGACUACGGGACAGAGGUUCAUGGCCGAAGGGGUAGAGGAAGACCUAGGAAAACUUUGGAAGAGACUCUAAGAUAAGACUUAGAGUAUUUGGAUCUAACGGAUGACAUGACACAUGACCGAGCACAAUGGCGUUCUAAGAUUCAUAUAGCCGACCCCACUCAGUGAAGAAGGCUUUGGUGUAUUUAACACAAUACGUUGGAAAUGAAGCAAAGCUUAUUUAUUGAUAUCUCCGAUAAGUUACAAAUAUGUACAUAUACAUGAGUCAAAAUAAACAAACAAGAGGGAUCCUUCACAAAGGUUGCUUAGGAGAAGUCUUAGCAGUCGGUAGAGCCCCAGAAAGAGAAGGCACCGGAGGGGGAUCAUUCAAGCCUCAGUACUGGACAGAACCCUAGAAGGAGGAUGCAUCAGAGGUUGAUCAUUUGGAGCUUCAUUAUGCGGUAAAGCCCUAGAAGACGAAGGCAAUAAAUGUCUUUGGAACAAACCCACAAACCGCUAAUGAUCAAGUAAAACCUGACCAUCAGAUUCCUUCAUCUGGUCAAGCUUCCUCUUCAUGUUUGUAGCAUAGUCAUGUGCGAACCGGUGCAACUGUUUAUUCUCAUGCUUGAGCCCUCUAAUCUCCUGUUUGAGACUCAUCACUUCAGCCACCAAUGAUUCAACUUGGCGGGUUCGAGCAAAUAGGCGUUGGGCCAUAUUAGACACAGAACCUGCACACUGAACACUUAGAGCCAGAGAAUCCUUAACAGCCAACUCAUCAGACCGUUUGGAAAGUAGUCUGUUAUCUUUGGGAGUGAGAAGGUUCCUGGCCACCACCGCAGCAGUCAUAUCAUUCUUCAUCACGGAAUCCCCAACGGUAAGAGGACCAGUAGGGGAUAAGAAGGAUGGGCGCCAUAUGUUGUCUGGAGAAGGCGUGGCUGCCUCUUCAACAAGGUUCAAGUCAAAACGACGGUCGGAGGGGCCAAACAUUUUCAAAGGUGUUGAAGAGAGAAGAGGUCGGACAAAUCAAGAUCUUAGAAGUGCAAGAAUGGAGCUUCUACUGGUGAAGAUUCAAGUGUGCUUUGAAACUUAAUGCCAGCCUCUAUAAAAAUCUGCACUCGACGGAGCUUCAGAAAUCGAAGAGGCGUCUGCCCAGAAAUCGAAAGAGGCGUUUGCUUUCUCAAAAGCUGGGCUGCUCAGAGACCACGAGGGCCGAUCUCAGAAAUCGAAGAGGCGUUUGCUUUCUCAAAAGCUAAGUUGGGCUGCUCAAAGACCACGAAGGCCGAUCUCAGAAAUCGAAGAGGCGCUUGCUUUCUCAAAAGCUGGGCUGCUCAGAGACCACGAGGGCCAAUCUCAGAAAUCGAAGAGGCACCUGCUUUUUUCAGCCUUGUCAGCACCUGUCACAUGCACACUCAGCUUUGCUGAAAUUACGGGCAUUCUGUUGAAGAUUUCUGGUGAAGUAGAAAGCAUGUGAAUCUCACUGUUCAAUCAUCCACUUUUCACACGCACCAUCAGCUCAUGGGUACACAGAUAACUUUGCCAAAGAUCUCUGACAAAGUUUAGACACGUGAAGCUUGCAGCUCCCACUACAUCGCUAUGACCAAGAAGGGUAAAAGAAUAGCAAAGAAACAGCACUAACAAAGUUUAGACACAUAAAUUUUGAAGGUCUAGCUACCAUAUUAUUACCCACAAGGGUAAAGGAACAGCACCACUGCUGGAUAAUUGGAAAGUCCUUGUGUGUCAACCUCUGUGCUCCGUGGCAAGGUAGACUAGCAAACAUGCCCUACCUUUACUCACAUUCAAGAAAACACUCCCAACAAGAUUACUUGCUCCAAAAUCGAAGAGGCAUCGUCCUCUGAAUCUCGAGAGCCAGACUUCCAACAUGAUUACUUUCUAAAAAAAUCGAAGAGACACUGCUCUCCGAAUCUCGAGAGCCAGACUCCCAGCAGGAUUGCUCUCUCAAAAAUCGAAGAGGCACCGUUCUCCGAAUCUCGAGAGCCAGAUCCCCGACAGGAUUGCUUGUUCGAAAACCGAAGAGGCACCGCUUUCUCAACUUCAAGAGCCAGAUCUUCUUGGAUAAAGCUUGUCUGUAAUCUUCACACGCAACAUCAGCUUUCCAGAUACCACAGACCACUUUUUCAAAGUGCUCUGACACACGUGAAGCUGGCAGCUCCCACUACCGUGCUAUGACCAAGCAGGGUAAAGGAAUAACAUUACUACUUGUUGUUAGGGAGACUCCUAUAUAUGUCGACCUUCAUCCUCAACGAACAGGCAGACCUGCAAAAAUGCUCAACCCUUCCUCAUAUCUGAGAGGGAACUCUCAACGAAGCCUCCCGAAAUACUCAGCUUUCUUUCCCCCCGAUAAUACCUUUGCAAACAAGCUACACCAGAGCAAGAAUAUCUCAUAUCAUCAGGGUUAAAAGCAAAAGUAUCCCAUAUCAUGCUUUUUCCCUGUCUUUUCCUUUGGCCUUGUUCUUACCUGCAAGACAAGGAGAAAGAGAGCAAUCAGUCUGCACUUGGAAUCAAGCUUCCAGUCAAGAACUGACUGCCUGGAACCCCUUACCUGAUUACUUACCUGGCAUUGCUCUCGAGUACUCAUCUUCAACAUCAUAUGCUUUUAGAGAAGAUACCACAUCUGCCUGAGGAACCGAUAGGGAAAGUGAGAAAGAUACAAGGAAGCAUGUGGAAACAGAACACGUGCCGAAACAUCCAUUACUUGGUCAACAGCAAAAGUAUCUCAUAUCAGCAGGGUCGAACGUACUUUAGAUUUGAUGGACUUGUUUUGACCCUCAAAUUCUUCAGUCGGCCUUAUACUCUAGAGGAAACCAGAAAACCCUCCAGCCCAGUUCAAGAAUAAGCCUGUGGAAAGUUACUUUUUCAAAAGCAAAAGUAUCUCAUAUCAUAUAUUCUCCUUUUCUUCUCUUUAUCCUUCAUGCUGCCUGCAAGAUAGGGAGAAUGAGAACAAUCAACCGGAACUCGAAAUCAAACUUAUGAUCUGGGACUGAUUGCUUACCUUGUCUGUCACCUCUUUCAGCAGAUCUCCUAGCUCGGCAACUUGGGGGACUCCUACUACAUGGUUUGUAUCGCGCUUGACUAAGCCUGAAACUACAAGUAAGCUUCAAGUGAAAUUAAUACAUUACCUUGUGCAUCUCCACCAGUUAAAGAUACCACCCUUGGAUGGAGGAAGAGUACUUCCAGAGAAGAUGCCACAUCUACCUAUGAGACAGAUAAGGCAAGUGAAGACGAUACCACACUUCGGUACUUAGAAGUUUCGUGAUUACGAGAUCAUUCUCCCACAAUAUUUCCUAAUGUCAUUUGUACUAAAUCAUUCAUUUGUACUCAUUAAAGGAGAGCUUGAACCUAUGUACUUGUGUAAACCCUUCACAAUUAAUGAGAACUCAUCUACUCCGUGGACGUAGCCAAUCUGGGUGAACCACGUACAUCUUAUGUUUGCUUUCCUGUCUCUAUGCAUUUACAUACUUAUCCACACUAAUGACCAGAGCAAUAACUUAAUACUUUCUGUUGUACCAAAGUUCUCACUGAUUUUGGGCAUCAACAAUCCUUAAGUCCUUACCCUUUUGCGUUGGUAAUGGAUGAGUUAACAGGACAUAUUCAAGAUGAUAUUCCUUGGUGUAUGCUUCUCGCAAAUGAUAUAGUGUUGAUAGAUGAAACUCAGGAGAGGUAAAUGCGAAGCUUAACCUUUGGAGAGAAGUGUUGGAAUCUAAAGGUCUUCGCCUAAGCCGAUCAAAGACAGAAUAUAUGGAGUGCAAGUUCAGUGCAAAUGGAGGCCAAAAUGAGUUAGGGGCAAGGAUCGGAGAUCAGGUAAUACCAAAGAGCGACCGUUUUCGCUACCUAGGAUCUAUCUUGCAAAAGAACGGAGAAUUAGAUGGAGAUCUCAACCAUAAAAUACAAGCUGGAUGGAUGAAGUGGAAGAGUGCAUCCGGCGUGUUGUGUGACCGUCGUAGGCCACUGAAGCUCAAGGGAAAAUUUUAUAGGACGACAAUAAGGCCGGCGAUGCUGUAUGGCACAGAAUGUUGGGCGGUGAAGUAUCAACAUGUAUACAAAAUGGGUUUGGACAUGUGCAAAGAAGGCCUACUGACGCUCCGGUUCGAAGAUGUGACUAUGGGAUAGAGGUUCAGGGCCGAAGGGGUAGAGGAAGACAUAGGAAAACUUUGGAAGAGACCCUAGGAAAAGACUUAUAGUACUUGGAUCUAACGGAGGACAUUACACAACACCGAGUACAAUGGCGUUCUAGGAUUCAUAUAGCCGACCCCACUUAGUGGGAAAAGGCUUUGUUGUUGUAUAACAAUUUAAUGACUAUAACACGUUUAAAAAAAAAAAAACAACUUGAAGUUAAUUAUUCAAGAAAUAAGUCAAACAAAAACAAAAACCUUCAGAAUCUUGUCUGCUUCUCUUUCCACAGUAUCCAACAAGUUCAGCUGGGCUUCAACCAAACGGGUAAAUUAUACUCAAGUAAAACUGUGUUUCUUUCUCAAAGUCCAAACCAUACCGGAGCAAUAACCAUAAGAUGCUUCAAAAGUAAGGGUGGUUUCCAAAAGUCCCACCAUAGGAUCAAUAAACUUUACAGUCGAUAUUUUACUUUGUAUGACAUACACCAGUUAUCAGAGUUCAUUAUGUUAAUAAAAAAAAAGGUUCAAAACAUACGUAAGACUUUACCGCAUGAAGGUCUUAUGUAUUUCUAGAAGACACGAAAGAAAUUCGGUUCAGUAAAACCAGAAAGCAGCAUCAAGGCCCGUGUAUAAAACCCAGUGGUUUAUGCCAUGACUACAACACCAGAGCCCUCCAAAACUAUUGUGCUCCCUCAGGCUGCAUUUAUUUUGCUUGCCACCGUUGAAACUUCUGAAACUAGAUUGGUUUCCUCAAGCGGUUCAUGUUUUUUGGGGUCUUUCUCCAAACAUGAAGCAUAAUAGGUUUGCCGUCAUCCAAAAGCACCCUUUAUGUAGUUUGUGUUCGAAAAGCGCCCUUUAUGUAGUUUGUGUGAAGUGCAGUUCACUAUUUUCCAGACUUUUUUUAUAGACACAUCCACAAGAACAGAACCUUAAGGUUGGCUAAGUGAACAUUCUGUCAUUACAUUGUCUAAAGCCAGGUUCUUAUCCUUCAUUUUUCUCACUUUGCCUCUUGAAAUUGAUCAACUCCUAUUGUGAAUCCGAUGCCCUAGUUUCUACCAAGAAAACGUUAAUAAGUAGGCUAACAAAUGCUACGCUAAUCUCGCCCUUGGGGCAACACCAAGGCAAGAUUGAUUCAAGUACAAACCAAAGCCCAAUUAUCUGCGCAACAACAGGUACGUGCCAAGAGGCAUAAAUGACAGCAUGAUUCUGAGAUGGCAGGAGAUGAAAUAUUCCAGACAAAAGCCCAAAACUAAACAUAGAGGCCUUAAGAGGCCAAUGCCAACAAAUUUGGGAUUUACAGUUCGAAAUCCUAGUUUAGCAUACGAUGAGACAUUGUCACUGAACCUUUAUCACCUUCUCAGACACUUUUGAGCGCUCCAACCAUUUUAAGCGACAAGUAGACUUUGGACAUACACUCAUUCCAAACAAAACAAAACAAAACAAGAAAAACCUUCUCUUAAAUUCCCAAAUCCAGCCCCUUUACCUACUGAAGAAUUAACAAAACAGAAGAAACCUUUAACAGGACAGAGGCGGGUGGUUGUGACAGGAAUGAGUGUGGCGACCCCACUCGGUCAUGAUUCUGAUGUCUUCUACAAUAAUUUGCUUAAGGGAGUUAGUGGCAUUAGUGAGAUAGAAGCUUUUAAUGGUACCAAGUUUCCAACGGUGACCAAUUUACUAAACCUCCCUUCAUAUUGUUGUUUUCUAUGUACUAUGUUCUUACUUCUCUUUAUUUUCUUAAGAGGAUUCGUGGUGAGAUCUUUCUCAACGGACAGAUGAGUAGCACCAAAGUUUUCUGGAAGAAUGGAUAAGUUCAUGCUUUAUUUGCUUACUGCUUGAAAGAAAGCCUUGGCAGAAGCUGGAAUCACAGAAGAAGUCAUGGAGACGUUAGACAAAGCAAAAUGUGGGGUUUUGAUUGGCUCAGCAAUGGGUGGCAUAAAGGUAAUCCCAAUGUUCUGUGCCUUAAUAUUAUGUACACUUUCCACUGGUUUGUCUUCAAUUUGAUGUUUUUAGCAGGCUGGUUUAGAGAUUGUAAUGUUACGUCACAUCUUCCAAAUGUCAUUUUUGGUGGAGAUGCACGAAAACUAGUUUCUUUGAUUUCAGAACUGGACUUGUUUAUGUUCUUUAUUUGUUAAUUUAAGAUAGUGUAUCAGUAUCUCUCUCCUGUAGUAAACAUCUUGUAAACGCAAAAGAUUCUUUUCACAAAAAUUAAAUUCCGAGCCAGAUAGUCUCGCAAUGAUCCACAAAAUCUACUUUUGGGACAAGAUCUGAUUUGUUUUUCAUCGCUUCAGUCAUGUUUGAUAAAUCCAUUUUGUAUUUUGAUAUUGAACAGAUCUUCAAUGAUGCAAUUGAAGCUUUACAGGUUUCCUAUAAGAAGAUGAACCCUUUCUGUGUACCUUUCGCAACCCCAAAUAUGGGUUCUGCCAUGCUGGCAAUGGAUCUGGUGAGAUUAUAAUAUAUAUAUAUAUAUAUGUAUAUAUGUAUAUGUAUAUGUAUGUAUGCAUAUAUGUAUCCAUGCAUAUAUAUGUAUGUGUAUAUAUAUGUAUAUAUGUAUGUAUAUUUAUAUGUAUAUGUAUAUAUAUAUAUAUAGAGGUCGCACUUGGUGCGAUGGCAAGUGCCUUCACCCAUGAGCGGUAGGUCUCGGGUUCGAGACUUGGGAGCAGCUUCUCCAUAAAUGGGGGUAAGGCUAGCCGACAUUCACCUCUCCCAGACCCUGCUUAAAACAGGAGCCUUAUGCACUGGGUACGACCAUAUGUAUAUAUAUAUAUAUGUAUGUAUGUAUGUAUCUAUAUGUAUGUAUAUGUAUGUAUAUAUAUGUGUAUAUAUAUUUGAUGCAUACUCUUUUUGUAUUUCUAUGUUCGAUGAGAUCUUUACGUUUUACAGUUGAGAGUGAACUCUACAAAAUCCAUGAUUGGUCACCUACUGGGAGCAUCUGGUGCCGUAGAAGCUGUUACAGCAGUACAGGUAAUUUACGUGAUGUCUUUGACUUGGAAAAAGUGUACUAUUUUUAGACCAUAUAUGUAAGACCAAAUACAAUUCUUGUUUGUUUGGCUUGAAGUGUAGUUCUUGACAUGUUAUCUUCUUUUUUGGGUAGGCGAUAAGAACUGGGUGGAUACAUCCAAAUAUUAAUCUGGAAAGCCCAGAUGAGGGCGUGGUACGUUGUCUUCCGUUCCCUUGUAACCCUUUUCUGGUAUAUAAUGUCCAAUGAAAGUGUAUUUGGAAUCCACUAACUCUGUCAGCGCGUAAAUGCAGGAUACAAAACUACUGGUGGGUCCAAAGAAAGAGAGACUGGACGUUAAGGUGGCAUUGUCUAACCCAUUUAGGUUCGGUGGCCACAACUCAUCGGUCUUGUUUGCCCCAUACAAGUAGAAACAGAGACCUAAGUGUGCUUACUCCAACCUUUGCUGCAAUCGUACUGAAGGUAUGUUUGCAUACUGCAUCUUUUUAUUAGAAAUAAGAAAGAAUUGUAAUAUGUAAACAAAUCAAGCAAAGUGUCGGGAUUUCUUAUGAAAAAUAAUAGUGAGAAACAUAAUUCUGCAGUAUUGCGACUCUGUCUGAGAGUUAGUACUUUCAACUUGAAAUCAACGUAGUAGAACAGUUACGAGCACCGUCACAUAUUUCUUCAACAAUGAAAUCAAUGAUCCUUCAUUCAUUUAUUUUGCUUGCAAAUUAAGCAAAACUAGUUAUCUGCAGAUAAGACUGAAUCCACAUUGAAGAAAGA
rnacentral:lncRNA from 1 species